rnacentral:lncRNA from 1 species
UGAGUUGCUAAUGGGUGCAUCAAGGGUACUCUUGAUGGAUGAAAUCUCAACCGGGCUUGAUAGUUCAACUACCUAUCAAAUCAUCAAGUACUUAAAGCACACGACUCGUGCAUUUGAUGGGACUACCCUGGUUUCUUUAUUGCAACCUGACCCUGAAACUUACUGUCUGUUCGAUGAUAUAAUUCUUUUGAGUGAGGGCCAAAUCAUUUAUCAGGGUCCCCGCGAAACAGCUCUUGAGUUCUUUGAAUUUAUGGGUUUCAAGUGUCCCUCCAGGAAAAAUGUUGCUGAUUUUCUUCAAGAGGUAAUUUUGUGAGUUCAAGCAUUGGACUGAUGCCAUAUUGAUAGUGCUCUUAUAUGGUUUGUCAUCUUGCUAUCUCCACACAGUUAACAUCUGAAAAAGAUCAAGGGCAGUAUUGGUUUCUCAAUAGCCCGUACAACUAUGUAUCGGCGACAAAGUUUGCUGAAGGCUUUCAAUCCUUUCAUGUUGGUAAUGCAUUGGCACUGGAGAUGGCUAUACCAUUCGACAAACGUGACAAUCAUCCAGCAGCUCUGUCCUCUAGUACUUAUGGUGUGAAAAAGUUUGAGCUUCUCAAAAUCAGUUUUGCCUGGCAGUUGCUAUUAUUAAAGCGAAACUCAGCUGUGCUCAUUUUCAAAGUCACACAGGUCUUAAAUUUUAACAGUUCUUCUGUGACAGAAAAUCUCAGUACAUGUAGCUCCAUUAAAUCCAAUUUAGAGUUAUACUGUACGUAGUUGAGAUGGACAUAGUGAUUUCUAUUUUGCAGCUCUUUCUGAUUAUCUUGAUUAUGAUGAGUGUGUUCUUCCGUUCAACAAUGCAUCAUGAUACACUUGAAGAUGGAGCUGUUUACCUCGGUGCUCUAUACUUUGCAAUUCUUAUGGUUCUUUUCAAUGGUUUCUUGGAGGUGCCUAUGCUGAUAGCAAAACUUCCCGUUCUUUACAAGCAGAGAGAUUUUCACUUCUACCCCUGUUGGAUAUAUACUCUUCCAUCUUGGCUUUUGAGUAUUCCCACAUCACUUUUAGAGUCCAUUAUUUGGGUUGCAGCUACAUAUUAUGUGGUUGGCUUUGAUCCUCAAAUAACCAGGUAUAUGUUUUUUUUUUUUUUUUUUUUUUUUUUUUUUGAUUAUUGGUUCUAUUUGUUUCUUCUUGUUUUAGUUUCUGUAUUAGCUUUUCACCAUGUUUGAUAGAGGUAAGACAACUCAUUUUGAUUAAUUACUUCAGGUGCUUCCGUCAGUUUUUGUUGUAUCUCUCAUUGCAUCAGAUGUCAAUAGGACUUUUCCGCGUGAUGGCAGCUCUAGGCAGAAAUAUGAUAGUUGCUAAUACCUUUGGAUCGUUUGCAAUGUUGGUAGUCAUGGCUCUAGGAGGAUUUGUUCUUUCAAGAGGUCAUCUACACUCUCAUUUUGGCUCAUUGAUAAAGUUACUUCACCCCGAAAGAAAAUGGCUUUUAUUCAAUAAGGUUUGUAGUUGAACUUUCAUAUUUUACAGAUAGCAUCCCAAGUUGGUGGAUCUGGGGUUACUGGUUUUCCCCUUUGAUGUAUGCCCAAAAUUCAGCUUCAGUAAAUGAGUUCCGUGGCCAUUCUUGGGAUAAGGUAAUUUGGUAUUCUGGUAUCUAUUUGUGUCUGUUCAUAUCCAAUUACAUGGUGUCGAAGGCCUUCUAUCUUGUAAAAUUCUUUUAACACUUUAGAAAUGACUACUAUAAAAAUGCCACAGCACUCAGUUGAUGCUUCAGAAAAAACUAUAUACUAAUGUAGCUCAUUUAAAAAGAAAAAAAAAAACUAGCUCAUUUGUUAAUCAGUAAUACUGUUGGAUAUAGAUUUACUUUUCUUUUUAAACUGGCAGAGAUUUAGGGACAACAAGACAUCUCUAGGUUUGAUGUUACUGAAGGUUCGCAGCUUGUUUCCGGAGGACUAUUGGUAUUGGAUUGGUGUUGGUGCAUUGAUUGGGUAUAUAAUAUUGUUCAAUGUCCUCUUCACGAUAUUUCUGACUUACCUCAACCGUAAGUUUCAUCUUCUAAAAUCUUAUAUACACUCAUCAUAUAAAGCUACUUUUCUGGUUCUUAAAGUUUUACAUUGCGACGAGUUUAUAGAGAAAGCCAAGCUGUCCAAACGAAUUGAGAAAAAGAAAGGUGUUUGGUAACGUGAUUGCUCUUAAUGCAAAUUGAUGUACUCGUAGCAGCAUAUACUUUCUUCCUAGCUGUAUAAUAUUGAGAUAUGCUAACAGUAAAUGAAACUUAUCAUGUUUUUACAACUUUUUGCAGCAUUAGGAAACCAGCAAGCAGUUGUUUCAAAGAGAAAGAACCACAACAAGGACAAGGAACAAGAGAGUGAACAUAACAUUGUUCCAUUUGGAGAGUUUUUGAACCAUUCACACUCAUUCACUGGUUUGUUAAAGCGUUUUCACUUUCAAGAUUUGCUUUUUAGAUUCAAUGAGAAGAUAUUCAUGACUCCAGUUUCUUGGCAGGAAGGGAGAUCAAGAAACGAAGAGGCAUGGUUCUUCCAUUCCAGCCUCUUUCCAUGUGUUUUAGAGACAUUAGUUAUUAUGUUGACGUUCCCCUGGUAAACCAACAGCAGUUCAAUUCUAGUAAGCAAUGAAUGUAGUUGUUCCACAGCAAAUUCCUUAUCAUCGUCCAAAAUUAUUUCUUCAGGAGCUUAAGCAACAAGGGCUAGUAAGUGAUAAACUGCAGUUACUAGUUAAUGUUACUGGUGCAUUUAGGCCGGGCGUGCUUACUGCAUUAGUUGGUGUCAGUGGUGCUGGUAAAACUACUCUAAUGGAUGUUUUAGCUGGUAGGAAAACUGGUGGACAUAUAGCAGGCAAUAUCUAUAUUUCUGGACACCCCAAGAAGCAAGAAACUUUUGCAAGGGUAUCUGGAUAUUGUGAACAGAAUGAUGUUCAUUCCCCCUGCUUAACUGUCCAUGAGUCACUACUGUUUUCUGCUUGGCUCCGGUUAUCUUCUCAGGUUGACGUGAAGACACAAAAGGUAAUCGCUAUAGUUCCUUGAACUUAUGAUCAUGUCAUAAUUUGUACAUAAAGAAUCUGAGGAAGGACCAUAUUUUUGCAGGCUUUUGUUGAAGAAGUAAUGGAACUAGUGGAACUAACUUCAUUACGUCGAGCUUUGGUUGGCCUGCCUGGAGUGGAUGGAUUGUCAACAGAGCAAAGGAAAAGGCUGACAAUUGCAGUUGAGCUUGUAGCCAAUCCUUCAAUAGUUUUUAUGGAUGAACCUACUUCAGGACUAGAUGCCCGGUCUGCAGCUAUAGUAAUGAGAACAGUGAGAAACAUUGUCGACACUGGAAGAACAAUCGUCUGCACCAUCCAUCAGCCUAGUAUAGAUAUCUUCGAAUCAUUUGACGAGGUUUUCAUCUAAAAUCUUGUUCAGUACACACGUAUUCUUGAAGUUAACACUGUAAUAACAGUUUUAGCAGUUAUAUACCAUAACCUUAGUUUUCAUUUAUGUGAUCCACCAUCACAUCGAAGAUCAAUCACAUAAGGGUAACAUUAAUCUUAGAAGCACUUGAAUGUACAUACUAGAUUUUUACAUGAAUAUGAUGAAUGAUAGACUUUAAGAUAUGAUUAGUACCUUUGGCUUCUAAAGUAAGACAUGAUUCUACUUGGUAUGUAUGCAGCUUUUGCUCAUGAAAAGAGGUGGACAGCUCAUUUAUGCUGGUUCACUAGGAAACAGAUCAUGCAAGCUUAUUCAGUAUUUUGAGGUAAUCCUUUAGCUGAUCAAUUCAGAGCUUGCUAUGCCUUAAAACUGUAUAAUAAAUGAUCCAAUUGUAAAAUUUUUUAGGCAAUUCAAGGAGUUCACAGAAUUAGGUCUGGACAGAACCCUGCUGCUUGGGUUCUUGAAGUCACUUCUUCAGCAGAAGAAAAUCGCCUUGGUGUAGAUUUUGCGGACAUUUAUAGAAAGUCAACUCUAUUCAGGUAUCUAUAUGUGUGUAUGGUGAAGAAACUAUCUGGUUUGCAUAUUUUAUAGUUGACUAUAUUUUCUGUCAUUUCAGGCAAAAUGAGGAAAUGGUUGAAAAUUUAAGCAGACCACAAGAAGAUUCAGCUGAGCUACAUUUCCCAAGCAAGUACUCUCAGUCCUUUUUCGGACAGUUUCUUGCAUGUCUUUGGAAGCAAAACCUGUCCUACUGGCGGAAUCCACAGUAUACUGCUGUGCGCUUCUUCUACACGGUCAUAAUCUCAUUGAUGUUUGGAAGUAUAUGCUGGAAGUUUGGUUCUAAGAGGUUUCUUUCUUGAAACUUUGCCUUCACCACUCAAAACUAUAUAAAUCCGUUUACUCAUUUGAUCUUAUGACACAUUUUGCACAAGACAAAUGUUACUCAAGUGUAUCCUCGUAAUCAGAAAACUGAAUGCAACUUCUUAACUUUUCACUGUUUCUGUCAAUCUGCCAAUCUUUUCACCACAGGAGUAAUCAGCAGGACAUAUUAAAUGCAAUGGGAUCCAUGUAUGCAGCUGUUCUUUUCAUUGGAAUCACAAACGCUUCCUCUGUCCAACCUGUGGUAUUUAUUGAGAGGUUCGUCUCAUAUCGUGAAAGAGCAGCAGGGAUGUACUCAGCUCUACCCUUUGCAUUUGCACAGGCAUGGCAUCUUUAUAUUCUUCGUGUGCUUUUCUAUAUGAUCGGAUGUAAGACUUGGUACGCGAAAUGUGCUUGCGAAUCUUAAGUGGAUAACCUUACUGUCUUUGCAGGUCACAAUUGAAUUUCCAUAUGUUUUCAUACAGACACUAAUAUAUAGUACCAUAUUCUACUUCAUGGCAUCUUUUGAGUGGAACGUCUGGAAGUUUGUUUGGUACAUAUACUUCAUGUACUUCACUCUUCUAUACUUCACUCUCUUCGGAAUGAUGACAACUUCAGUCUCUCCAAACCAUAACAUCGCGGCAAUUCUUGCUGCACCAUUCUACAUGAUGUGGAAUUUGUUCAGCGGAUUCAUGAUUUCUCGAAUGGUAAUGCUUUAACAUGUUUCUACCAUCACACACAAAUGCUUGUUAACAAUCUUAUUUCUCGUGUAUGUCGGCAUUUUAUCUGAACGAUCAUCAAUGAACUAGAUCGAAUUAGAAUAAAAUAGAUUCACUCAGUAACUUCCAUAAUAAGAAGAGGUGAAAUUCCAAAUGAUCACCGCAUAUGUUUUGUAAAUAUAUUCAGUUAAAUCUUGGAUUUUACCUUUUCACUGACUUUGUUGGUCUAAUUUCAGAGAAUUCCUAUUUGGUGGAGAUGGUACUAUUGGGCUAAUCCAGUUGGCUGGAGUUUAUAUGGACUUUUAACAUCACAGUAUGGAGAAGUAAAUGAACAUCUCCGGCUUGCUGAUGGUGUUCAUACAGUAACAGUAAAAAGGUUCAUUAGAGAGCAGUUUGGCUAUAGACAGGAAUUUAUAGGCUUAGCUGGUGUUGCAGUUGUUGGUUUCUGUAUAAUCUUUGCAGUAACCUUUGCUUUUGCAAUCAAGUGCUUCAACUUCCAGAGAAGAUGAACAUUAUAAUAGAAGCACAAGGUAAUAUACAUUGCAAAUGCUUGUUUUAUCAAUAGACUUUGUGCUCCCAAGAACUAAAAAUAGUCGAUGGAUGUAUAAAUCGUGUAUAAUCGGUAUAUGAUCAAUGUAUACGGCCUAAAACGUAAAUAGUGAAUCUGGCUGGCAAGUGCAUAUACUCCCUCCAUCCGAGCUUAAUUAGAAACCGAGUUUAACAAAGAAAAAAGGACACUUUUGAUAGUUGUGACAUAAACAAGCCAUAUACAUUUGUGUAGCCAUAAAAUACUCAAAAAAUAUACAUAUAUUAAGUGUUAUGCCACUUUAUUUGAAUUCUGAAUUUGCUAUUAGCUGAAGAAUACAAAUUUUGCAGUUAUUAGUUUAGCAAAAGAGCUAACAUACAUUUUAUUUCUCUUGCAGGAUUCUGUUUUUAGUUUUGACUCAUUGAUCAGCUUAAAGAGAAUAAGGAUUGCAACUACAUAUAUUUCUCAUGAAUUUCUGUGACAUUCAUUUUAUAUAUAUAGAUCAAAUUCUGUGUCACAUAUAUGAAGUUGUACAUAAGGAAAACCCUAUAUUUUUUAUCUCAGAAACAAAAAAAAAGCUUACAUCUUUUUUUUCACCUCUUCUACUUCUCUUGGCAAACACAUUUUUUAUUAGAGAGAUUAUUGUUUAUGAAUUUGAUACAAAAUGUUGGAGCAAAAGAAAUAUUUUAUUCCACAUUAGGAAGGAUGGUUAAUACUAAAUUUUUGGUAUAACUAAUCCUGGAAUUGUUUAUACCAGAAAAAAUCCAACAAACUAUGAAAUUAAAUGUUGAUUGAGCUUUAAUUUGAUUAUAGAUUAUGAAAUUGAAACUUAAAAGUUUGAGUUAUUGAAAUUGUAUUUGGAUAUUCAUUUUAACUUGAAAUUUUUUUUAAUUAAGUUUUGUAAGUAAAUGUCCCAAAAAUAUUGGAAGGAACUAAAAUAUUUCAAAAUCUGAUCAAAUUUCAUUGCUAAACAAAAAUUUGAAUAGACAAUUUGAAAACACAUAAUAUAUAAACAAUCAUUCAAACUUAGCCUCUCUCCAAAUGUGACUGUACAUCUACAAGUAACUUAAUUUGAUCUCAACUGACAACUUAAACUCCAACUCAUUCUCAUUGUGUCUCUGGACACCCAACGUCGCGUGACAUCUAAAUAUGAAAGUGUUUAAAUGAUCAUUAUGUAAAUUAGAGUGUCCAAUUGACACAUCAUAGACGACUUGAGGUGUCUAGAUAUGCAGAUUGAAGUGUGCUUGUCAGAGGUCAAAUUUAAAUGUUUAUUUAUAUAUUAUGCCUUUUUAAAAUCUGCCACCAACCCAAUCUUCAUACAUUUGCUAUAAUGAAUUAGAAAAUACAUCGGCUAAUAUAUGUAAAUGUGGGCUUUGAGUUGUAGGUGUCAAAAGAGUUUUAAAAUGAGGUGUAGGUGACACAAGUCUUAAUUAUUGAGUGAAUGUGACAAUUAUUUUAUUAUGAAUUAAGAAAGUUGAAAAAAUUUGAAAAUAACCCACAAGUUUUUUAAUUUACACUUUGAUCCAAAUGUUAGUUAAUAUAAUAGGAAAUGGAGGGAAAAAAAGGCGCGUUUCUCUCUCUUUUCAUCCGUUGUUAUUUUCUCUCUUCACUUAACUAUUGUUGUUCAUUGUUGCUGCUGCUUUAUUCAUCAUCUUUUACUUCAUUAUCAUCUUCAUCUUCUUCUUGUCGACCAUUGUUGCUGUUGUUGUUGUUGUUACCGCUACUGCUGCUAUCUAACCAAUUUCUUAGGUCAAAUUUUGUUUCCUACAUCACUUUCCACUUUGGCAUUACUUCAUAAGUGACUUUGGUAAGUAAAAUUAUGAUUUUUAUUCGAAUUUGUCAUCUGGGUACAUAGUUACUGUUGUUUUUCUAACAAUAGAUAGAACUCGAUCAUGAAUCCAACGUAAGUGCCCACAAUUUAAAUAGAUCACCCAUUUGGUGCAUUAGACGAGUAAUCUGUUGCAACAGACUAGUUAUUUGUUGUAUCAGACUGAUUAUCUGUUGCAUCAGACUGAUUAUCUGUUGCAACAAAUGACUAAUUUGUUUGGAACAACACAAAUCAACCCGUGCCACAAACCCAACAGAUAACCAAUAUAUUUCAACUCUUGCUAUUGCUACUGGAUUCAAAAUUAUUCCCUACGUUCAAUCAUCGACAUAUUUGUUGAGGAGAUAAUAGACAGAAUGAAAAUUAAAUAUUCACUCUGUCUCAAAUUACCCGUCCUUAUCUAUUUGGAACAACACAAACAGCCCCUACCACAAACCCAACAGAUAACCAGUAUGUUUCAACUCUUGCUAUGCAAACUGGAUUCAAAAUUAUUUCUUACGUCCAAUCGUCGACAUGUUUGUUGAGAAUAUAAUAGACAGAAUGAAAAUUAAAUACUCCCUCUGUCUCAAAUUACCCCUCCCAAAUUUUCUAAUUUAAUUUCUUACUUUACAUGUCUUUUUUCAUUAAUCAAGAAGAGAUAAUUUUUUUUUCAUGUUUUACCCUUUGGAUUAAUCACUUUUUCUUCAAAUUAAAAUAUAAACAUCAUUUAAUAGGGGUAUUAUGGUAAACUAGGCAUGUUAUUAAUUAUUUUUCUUAAUCAAUGUGCCAUCUCAAUUUGGGACGGGUAAUUUGAGACGGAGGGAGUAUGAAUUAAAAUGUCAAAGCCUUGCAACAGACUAGUUAUCUGUUGAAAUAGACUAGUUAUCUGUUACAUCAGACUGAUUAUCUCUUGCAUCAGACUGCGUAUCUGUUGUAAUAUAUGAGUAAUAUAUUUGGGACAACGCAAAUCAUCCCCUGCCAUAAACCCAACAGAUAAAUUAAUCUUGCUAUUACUACUGGAUUCAAAAUUAUUUCUUACGUCCAAUCGUCAAAAUGUUUGUUGAGAAGAUAAUAGAAAGAAUGAAAAUUAAAAAUGAAUUAAAACAUCAAAGUUGAUCAAACAUAAUUUUUUUUUGUUAAACUAAAACAAAUAAAAAUACAUACACAUAGACGAGACUAAAAGAAAAAAAAUCUAAUUAUUAUUAUUAUUAUUAUUAUUAUUAUUAUUAUUAUUUUUUUUUUUUNNNNNNNNNNNNNNNNNNNNNNNNNNNNNNNNNNNNNNNNNNNNNNNNNNNNNNNNNNNNNNNNNNNNNNNNNNNNNNNNUUUUUGUCAGCCGGCCAAUCUUUCACAGGUAGUAGCAAGGCCCUCCUCAGCCGUCGGAUCUCACGGAGCAACCUUGCUCUAACUACUCCUAGUUCCCAUUGCAGGUCGCGAACCUCUAUCCGAAGUUCAUUCACGGUGUCUCGUAGAAAAGCCAUGUCCCACACUGGAUCAGCCAUAUCUAGAACACAUAUGAAUUAAAAAAAAAAAAGUAAAAACAAAAGUAAAGAAAAGAAUAUCUGAAUGUAAUACAACGUAUACUAUAUAUUGACAAAAAAAAAACUUACUUGAGUCAGGGAAGAGAAAGUGGUGGAAGGUGUAAUAUGAAAGACAAGAUACAAUAAAUAAACAAAGUGUAGUUGAAUGAACGAAUGAGUAAGGAGGGACCUAUUUAUAGAGGAUUGAAUUUGAAUGAGUGGCAAAAAGGCGUGACUGUUCACCUCUAUUUAUUAAUUAUAUUUUUGAUUACUAUAAAAAGUUAUGACUUUAAUUAAAUUAAGAAAUAUUGUGAUAAGCAUGACUUUUCAGAUUAUUAUUAUUAAUUAGUUCUUUUCAAGAAUUGUUUUUACUGAGUUGUGACAACAGAUUCUAUAUCUGUUGCAUCAGAUAAUCUAUCUGUUGCAACAUUUAAUCUAACUGUUCACCUCCAUUUAUUAAUUAUAUUUUUGAUUACUAUAAAAAGUUAUGACUUUAAUUAAAUUAAGAAAUAUUGUGAUAAGUCAUGACUUUUCAGAUUAUUAUUAUUAAUUAGUUCUUUUCAAGAAACAUUUUUAUUGAGUUGUGACAACAGAUUCUAUAUCUGUUGCAAUAUUUAAUCUAACUGUUCACCUCCAUUUAUUAAUUAUAUUUUUUAUUACUGUAAAAAGUUAUGACUUUAAUUAAAUUAAGAAAUAUUGUGAUAAGUCAUGAUUUUUCGGAUUAUUAUUAUUAAUUAGUUCUUUUCAAGAACCGUUUUUAUUGAGUUAUCACAAUAGAUUUUAUAUUUGUGCAUCAGAUAAUCUAUCUGUUGCAACAUUUAAUCUAACUGUUCACCUCUAUUUAUUAAUUAUAUUUUUUUAUUACUGUGAAAAGUUAUGACUAUAAUUAAAUUAAGAAAUAUUGUGAUAAGUCAUGACUUUUCAAAUUAUUAUUAUUAUUAAUUAGUUCUUUCCAAGAACCAUUUUUAUUGAGUUGUGACAACAGAUUCUAUAUCUGUUUCAUCAGAUAAUUCAUCUGUGACAACAGAUAUACCAUCUGUUGGAACAAAUAGAGAACCUGUUGCAUCAGAUAAUUUAUCUGUUGCAACAUAUAAUCUAUCUUUUUUUUUUAAAUUAUCAUCAUAUCAUUAAUCAAAAUUUGCUAACUUUUUUAUUAUAUAAAUUAAAAAAACACCUUUUCAAUAACCAUUUCUUUAAUAAAAUAAUAACCAUUUUUAUUGAGUCCUGGCAAUAGAUUGUGUAUCUGUUGAAUAAGAUAAACCAUCAGUUGCAACAGAUGUACCAUCUGUUGCAACAAAUGGACGAUCUGUUUUAAUAGCUUUUUAAUUUCUUCUCACAGCUGAUACAUCAGUUGUAACAGAUGGAGAAUUUGAUGCAUCAACAACAUUGUUUAAUGUGUUUUAGACAAAAAAUAACUGAUUGGGACUUUUCACCAUUUUUGUUUUUAAAUUUAUUUUUUAAUAUUAUUUAUUUGUUAUAUAAUUAAAAAAAGUCACAAUAUUGGAUUAAUUAAUUAACUUAUAUGAUGAUUGUUAAGAAAAAGGUGAACAGUCGUGACUUUUUUCAGAGAUCAAUAUUUAGUGUCAUUGUAGAGAUCCAAUAGCGAUUGGACUUAACUUAAAGUGUGCAUUAAACUCCGAGAAGGCCUUCGAAGCCUCGCACUGCAUCAAAUAAGAAUAGAAAACCAAUAGAAAUUCCUCUGGCCUAAAUUUAUAUGUAAGAGUUGAUCGAGAAGAUGAUUAUACGCCAGAAGGAGCCAAAGGAGAAUGCCUGCGAGGCAAAGGGGAGUUAAUGAAAGAAUAAAUCAUCUGAGAGCUAAUUGAAGAAGAGACAUAGGGUAACAAGGAACUUCUAGCGAAUCUGGCUAAUGAAAUUAUUUUAAAACACGAGAAAUCUGAAUCAAGUGCAAAUAUGAAACUGUAUCCGGUAAUGUACAUUCGUUUGUUGUCUCUCUAAAAGAAAAAUAAUUCAGUUGGUCACUUUGCUAGGAAGUUGCGACUAGGUAGCGUGGUCGGGAUUAUCACCUAGAUAGAAAAUAAUGGAAGACCAAGAAAGCAGCCUUACGGGCAUCGAGGAUUGAAAUGAUGUACAAUAAGUCUAGAAAACUUGCGCCAAAAACAACUGCAGUUAAAAUAAGGAAUCUAAACUAAGGCAGUAAUUUCUGAAUUUUAAAUUGCAUCGCAUGCCUUCUUUUUUGUGGUUCCAAUUAGGUCCACUGCUGUUGACCUGAUCGAAACCACAAACUAGAAUAAAAGAUAGAUUGAGUGUCAUUACUUACUUAGCAAUAUGGAUUAAUUGAUUGUGUUUUCUUGCCUUAGCAUGCUUUCAACAUUCCUUAGAGAAGAUCAGAGGCUUGUUGUAGUAUGUGAAUCCCGAUAUUUUUAAGCUUGACUCCAUCUUUUCGAUUUGGUAUUCAAGCUUGUCAUUGCCGUCUUUGAAGUUGGUAUAGAGUUCCUGGGCUUUUGUGAGCUCGAUUAGGAGCAGUUUCUCUUUCAAAGUUGUGGCAUUAAAGAAGGCCUUCAGAACACUUUCUUCAGAAGCGUUAAAGGAUACAUGGAGGGUCGUUAUGUUUAUUUUUAGGUCAACAUAUGUUGAUGCACACUCAAGAUGUGGUCCCAACCGUUAAAUAGCUCACUUUUAUUGAGCGUUGCUCAAUGUAGCCUGCUCAACCAACCUUCAAGGGAUAUGAUAAAUUAACAAGCAAGGAGUUACGUAACGUUUGAUCUAAACCGACUCUACCAAGACUAUCAAAUGUUACGUAACUCUAGGCUCAUUACCCUAUAAAAAAAUUUGCCUGAGUUAGUGGACAAAUCAAACAAGCUCAAUCUCUCAUCCUUUCUGUUGAUCGCUCUUCUCUAAUAUAGAUGAUAAGAUAUUUGCUAUGCAAAAGUCUACCCCGUCAGCAUAAAUACUUGCCAGAGCAAAAAUGGCAUUAUAAACUCCUCUGUCUUACUCAAGUAUCCGAAAAGGAAAAUUUUCAACUCCUCUAUCUUGCAUUGUUGAGCAAUGUACAAGGGUCACAGAAGAACAACAUAAGCUGAAAAAGAUGAGAAAAUAUAAAAGAGGGAAGGACAAACUAGAUGCUAGAUUUAGUUCAUCUUUGUUUGGAUUGUUAAACAAAUAAAAUGCAAAUGCAAAUGAAAAUAUUUCUGCCUUUUCUUAACAAACCAAACAAAGAUGAACUAAAUCUAACAUUCAGUUUGUCGAGGGGGAAUAGGAAGGACAAACUAGAUGCUAGAUUUAGUUCAUCUUUGUUUGGAUUGUUAAACAAAUAAAAUGCAAAUGCAAAUGAAAAUAUUUCUUCCUUUUCUUAACAAACCAAACAAAGAUGAACUAAAUCUAACAUUCAGUUUAUCCUUUCUAUUCCCCCCCUUUUUAUCUUAUCACCUUUUUCAACUCAUGUUGUUCUUCUGUGGCCCUUUUACAUUUCCCAAUAGUGCAAGACAGAGGAGUUGAAAUUUUUCUUUUUCAGAUACUUGAGCAAGACAGAGGAGUUGAUAGUGACCCUUUUGCUUUGGCAAGCAUUUCUACUGACGGUGUAGAUAUUUUGUAAGACCCCAUAAAAUUCUAAGUUUAAAUUCAGCUACUUAAGGAUUUAUAAGGAAAUCCAACACUUAGAAUAAUUUUUACUGUGUUAAAUACACUUAGUCUCCUUUUAUACCUCCGAACUUCAGAGAUUUAUUUGACGACCUUUUCGACCUCUGUUUUUGAAUUUUCAAGUUGCGUUGUGAUCAUGGAAGUCAAGAGUACAUCUCGGUUGAGUUUCAGAAUUUUUGGAAUCCGUUUAAGGCAUGUUUGGAUUUCAAAACAGAAGCACCAUGCGAUUUGCAUGCGUCGCAUGCUCUAUAGCAUGCUCCAGAAAUUUUCAGCAUUUCAGGGUCAAAUUCAAACGAUCAUAACUUCCUGUAUAUAAUGAACUGUGAGAUCUUCUACCUAUCAAUAGAAAGAUAUUUGAGUCUUCUUUCCAAGGCAAUUAGUUUCAUUUAAUUUGCACAUCUGGGUAAAGAGUUAUGAUCAAUUUACUUCAGCCUAUCAGCCUGAAAAUGACAGAGGACAGCUGCGUCUUUCUCUCUUUCUCUAGGGGUAUUUUAAUCUUUCCUACCUCUAUAUAUACACACAAAAACACAAGAAUCAAUCAUAAUUUAACAACAUAUGCUUGUUUUCUCUAAAAAUUCAUCAAGAAUAAGUAUAGGAUUUUCAUAGAAGCUUCAAGAAUUAAGGAAUUUCACCGUUAAUCUUCAAGAAUCUUUCAUCUAAGGCAGGCAUAGUGUUGAUUCAUGGAUUCCUUUCAUCCAUGAAGCUCAAAAACCCUAUUUCAAAUCUAUAAAUCAUGAUAUUUAUGUUGUGGGUUGAUUAUAACCAUAUUGUUGAUGUAAAUUAAAUUUUAAUUCCAUGAGUCAUCUAAAAAAAUCAUGAAAACUAAUUUUUUUUGUAUUAUUAUUCAUAUGAACUUUAUGUUGAGUUCUUGAAAUUUCAAGUUGGACGUUGAUGACCAUGUUGUUGGUGUUGGAUGAUUCCCAAGUUAAAAUCUUUAGGUGAUUUUAUGAAACAUAUUAGUAUAUAAGUUGAAAUCCAUAAAUUUGGUGGUUUAAGAUUUGUUAAAUUGAUGAUUUUACCUAUGUCCAAAAUUGUACAUGUAAGGUGUUCGAUAAGAUGCCUAAGAAACUAGAAAUCAUGUAAUAUAGCUAUAUUGUGACUAAAUGAUAGAUUUAUGAUACUCCUCUAUGUCCAAAUGGUUUCCAUGCUAUGAAGGUGACUUGUAAACCUUGUUAGGUUGUUCAUGAACUAGCUCUAUGGAUUUAUGCCAUGUCUAUUUGCAAUCCCAUUUAUGUACAAGAUUGUGAUAGCCAUGUAUGUUAUGAAAUUCCCCAAGUUAUGGUAUUAUGGAUUGUUGAUGUUGGUCACGUAUUCAAGAAAGUUAUGCUUCAUUAGUUUCCUUCUAUCGAGUCCUGGGGGUACUUGUACCCAAAAAAUAUAGCUGUGUGUCUAGAGCCAUGUCAUGUUUUCACGAUAUCCUCAGUCAAGCCAUGUUCAGUAGAAUUCAGUCAGUCAUGUGACUCAGGAAAAAUCUCAGUAAUCUCAUGAACUCAGUCAGUAAUAGAAUUUGGUAACAUUUCGUCAAACAACAAAAUUCAGUAAACUCAGUCCAUGUAUCAUUCAGUUUAUCAUGUUCAUUGUCUGUUUAGAUGGGAGUAGUAAUUAGCACCGAGUGAACCCAAGGAUGGGAACUCACCUGCCAGUAGAGGGUGUGAUUCUUAAAAACAAUCUUUGCAUUUCAGAACUACGUAGCCAGCAUAGAUUGAGACAUUAAUACCUGUCAGUUGAGGGUAGAUGAGGUGGCUUAACCUGUCAGAUGAGGGUUCCCAUCAUUCUCAUUAGAGUACCUGCCAAAUGAGGGUCACUCAUAGCUUAUCCUUACCAGUGGCACGGUAUUGACACCCUUCCAGUCAGGGUACAGAUUAGACCCCAGCUCAGCUAUAAUAGAAAUAUAUGGGGCAUGUCAGUUAGAUAAUUACUUCCCACAGUCUCAGUAUCAGUAUCAGUAAAAGAACUCAGAUAGUUUUUCAGAAUAUCAGGACCGUCAGAUACAGUCACUCAUGUUAUCAGUUAUUAGGACUGUCAGAUAUAGUCAAUAGUAUCAGUCAUAUCAGUUAUCAGUAAACUCAUGAUAUCAAUACCCAGACUCAGUAAUAUGUAUCAUGAUCUCAGUUACAGUCAUUAUGUAUUUAUGCAUGUAUUCUUAUGUUUAUGUUAGUCAGUAUUGUUCAUGCAUAUGAACCCUAUGAAUUAGCUUACCUCACUUGCAUACUCAGUACAUUCAAUUGUACUGACAUAUUUGUGCUAUGGUAUUUUAUUUUAUACCAUAGGUUCAGCAACACGAGAUUCAGAGCACCAGUAGCAUUUCAAUUUCAGCAGCAGAGUCGCAGUGAGUCCUCAUACUUUGAGGACUAUUACACUAUCAUUACUUAUUUCAUUUGCUUUCAGUAUAUGGAGUUAGUUGGAAACAUGUUCCUUCAACUCCUUAUUCAGACAUAUGUAGAGGCUUUAAGAUUCGAUUCAGACUUUAGUAUUUUCAGCUGUGGUAUUAUGAUGCCGUAUUUUAGAUGUUAUGACUUUAUUAGAUGUGAACCUUAUGGCCUUACAGCUCUUAUGUAUUCCGCUUUAUCAUGUAUAUUAUGUAGUGUACAAGUACAAAUAUCAGUCAUGGGUUAGCUUGUGGUCCUUUGGGGUCAUGGGCACCGUGUAGCAUUUCGAUUACUAGAAUUGGGGCGUUACAAUCUUGGUAUCAGAGCCUAAGGUUCAAAAGUGUCCUAGGAAGUCUGAAAGCUGCAUCUAGUAGAGUCUUAUGUAUGAGUGUAUUGCGCGCCACAUUUAUGUACAGGAGGCUAUAAGAUGUUUUAGGAAUAGUUUCCCUUCUUUCAGUAUUCAUGUCGUGCCAGUGAGCAUAAACUUGAAUUUAAAUCUCCAUAUAAUCCUUCUCUCUUCCAUUUACAGAAUAUUUCUCCCAAGAUAUCUCAAAGAAGGGUUGCUGGAAAAUGGUCAGUACCUCAGCCCAUUCAGGCAGACCCCUUGGAUGAGCAUGUUUCUCAUGCAGAGUUCAGAGCUGCAUUUACCACUCUCGCUCAGUUGGUUGCUGCACAAAAUGCACGACCAAUAGUUUUUCCAUCCAACCCAGUAGCCAAUUCAGCUGCAUCUAGGAUUCGAGAAUUCACCCGAAUGAAUCCUCCAUCCUUCUUCGGGUCUAAGUCAGAAGAGGAUACUCUAGAGUUCUUUGACCAAGUUUAGAAGGUCAUGGAUAUCAUGGGGGUUACUUCUUGUCAGAGUGCAUAGCUAGAUACAUUUCAGUUGCAGGAUGUUUGUCACACUUAGUUCAAGCAGUAGUUAGCAGAGAGGUUAGACGAUGCAGGGUCAGUAGAGUGGGAAGAGUUUGCUGACGAUUUUCUUGAUAGGUUCUUUCCCCUUGAGAUUUGGGAAGCUAAGGUGUUAGAAUUCAUCCACCUCAGAUAGGGCAACAUGACGGUAAAAGAGUAUUCCUCAGGUUUACUCAAUUAUCCAGAUAUGCCCCUUAUAUAGUUGCAGAUAACAGGGCCAAAAUGAGUAAGUUUAUUUCUGGGAUAAAUGAUAGUAUGGUAAAUGAGUGCAGGAUUGCCAUGCUGAAUAGUGACAUGACUUUAGCCAGGCUUAUGACUCAUGCUCAGCAGAUAGAGAAGCAGAAAAUUAAGAUGAGGGAGAAGCAGAAUAAGAAAGCAAGGAUAGGUAGUUAUAACUUUGCUCAUCCCGGGUCAGGGAGUGGAAGUUAUUCUUAGUUUCACCUAAAAUCCUCAGUCCUAACUCCUUUUUCAGCCAGUACUCCAGCUCCUAAAUUCAGAGAUAGGGCACCAAGUACUUAGUCUCAGGGCAGUGUUAGCAGUGGCCGCACUAAUCCCCUUUGCCAAACUUAUGGUAAGAACCACAAGGGUAUCUACAGAUCAGGUAGCGAUGUCUAUUUUGGUUAUGGUAAGCCAGGCCACAGGGUCAGGGAUUGUCCCCAGUCGAGUUAUCAGCAUCAGCAGAACCGUUCGACAGCUCAGACCGGUCGCCCAAAUCAGCAGGGUGCCACUUCCAGUGCUACUAGUGGGCAACACCCAAAUCGACUCUAUGCUUUCCAGUCCCAACAAGAUCAGGAAAAUUCUCCUGAUGUGGUUACUGGUACGUUACAGAUUUUUCAUGUGCAUGUUUACGCUCUGCUAGAUUCAAGUGCUUUUUUGUCUUUUGUUACUCUUUUCAUAGCAGGCGAUUUCAGAAUCAGUUCCAAAAUUCUAGUAGAGGCUCUUUCAAUCUCUACUCUGAUGGGUAAACACAUAAUAGCCCGGCGGGUAUACAGGAACUGCCCAAUUAUGAUAUUUCAGAAAGUCACUUUAGCAGACUUAGUUGAAUUAGAGAUGACUAAUUUUAAUGUCAUUCUUGGCAUGGAUUGGCUUUAUUCCUGCUAUACCACAGUCGACUGUAGAAACAAAAUAGUUUAUUUUUAGUUUCUGAAUGAACCCAUCCUAGUGUGGAGGGAUAGUACUUCAGCUUUUAGAGGUCAGCUUAUUUCCUACCUUCGGGCAAGGAAAAUGAUAUCUAAGGGAUGUGUCUACCAUCUCGUUCAUGUCAAGGACUCUAGUUCUGAAUCUCCCAGUCUUGAAUCAAUUCUAGUCGUGAAUGGAUAUUCAGAUGUCUUUCCCAAAGAUCUUUUAGGCAUUCCUCCCAAAAGGAAAAUAGACUUCGGCAUUGAUCUUCUUCCAGAUACUCAACCUAUAUCUAUUCUGCCAUACAGAAUGGCACCUGCAAAACUCAGGGAACUAAAAAAAUAGUUGAAAGAUCUCUUAGAUAAGGGAUUCAUCAGACCUAGCAUAUCCCCAUGGGGUGCACCAGUCCUAUUCAUGCGCAAGAAAGACGGUUCACUUAGAAUAUGAAGGGAAAUAGACUUCGGCAUUGAUCUUCUUCCAGAUACUCAGCCUAUAUCUAUUCUGCCAUACAGAAUGGCACCUGCAAAACUCAGGGAACUUUAAAAAUAGUUGAAAGAUCUCUUAGAUAAGGGAUUCAUCAGACCUAGCAUAUCCCCAUGAGGUGCACCAGUCCUAUUCAUGUGCAAGAAAGACGGUUCACUUAGAAUGUGCAUUGAUUACUGUCAGCUCAAUAAAGUCAAGAUCAAGAACAAGUAUCCUCUCCCCAGAAUUGAUGACUUAUUUGACUAGCUUCAGUGUGCCAUCUAUUUCUUUAAGAUAGACCUUAGGUCUGGCUAUUAUCAACUCAGAGUCAGAGAAUAUGACAUUUCGAAGACAACUUUUCAUACUCGGUAUGGUCACUUCGAAUUCCUAGUCAUGUCCAUUGGUCUUACCAAUGCACCAGCAACUUUCAUGGACUUGAUGAACCGUGUGUUCAAUAAAGUCAAGAUUAAGAACAAGUAUUCUCUCCCCAGAAUUGACGACUUAUUUGACCAGCUUCAGUGUGCCAUUUAUUUCUCUAAGAUAGACCUUAGGUCCGGCUAUCAUCAGCUCAGAGUCAGAGAAUAUGACAUUCCAAAGACAGUUUUUCGUACUUGGUAUGGUCACUUCGAAUUCCUAGUCAUGUCCAUUGGUCUUACCAAUGCACGAGCAACUUUCAUGGACUUGAUGAACCAUGUGUUCAAGAAGUACUUGGACAUGUUCGUCAUAGUCUUCAUAGAUGAUAUUCUUAUAUAUUAUUGUAGUGAAAGUGAUCAUGCAGAACAUCUCAGAACAGUACUCCAGACUCUCAGAAAUCAUCAGUUGUUCGCCAAAUUCAGUAAGUGCGAGUUUUGGCUAAGGGCAAUAGCAUUCCUUGGUCAUAUUAUUUUCGGUGAUGGCAUUAGAGUAGAUCCUCAAAAGACCAAAGCAGUAAGAAACUGGCCCAGACCUAUAUCUCCAUUAGAUAUCAGAAGUUUCUUGGGUUUGGCUGGAUAUUAUAGGUGGUUUGUUGAGGGAUUUUCUUCUAUUGCAUCCCCUAUGACCAAAUUGACUCAGAAGAAAGUCAAGUUUCAGUGGUCAGAUCCUUGCGAGAAGAGUUUUCAGGAGUUGAAGACUUAACUUACCUCAGCUCCAGUCUUAGCUCUUCCAGAUGGUCUAGAUGGAUUCUUAGUGUAUUGUGAUGCAUCUAGAGUAGGUUUAGGUUGUGUCCUCAUGCAGCAUAGUAAGGUCAUAGCCUACGCUUCCAGACAAUAUAAACCUCAUGAGAAGAACUAUCCUACUCAUGAUCUUGAGUUAGCAGCCAUAGUAUUCGCCUUAAAGAUUUAGAGGCAUUAUUUGUACGGUGUUCAUGUAGAUGUCUUCACAGAUCAUAAAAGCCUUCACAAUGUAUUCUCUCAGAAAGAUCUCAAUCUUUGUCUGAGAAAGCGGUUAUAGCUCUUGAAAGAUUACAACAUGAGUGUUCUUUACCACCCAAGCAAGGCCAAUGUAGUGGUCGAUGCUCUCAGUAGACUGUCUAUGGGUAGUGUUGGUCAUGUUGAGAAAGAUAAGAAAAAGGUAAUUCUGGAAGUCCAUCAGCUUGCCCGACUAGGUGUCUACCUAGUUAAUUCUUCAGAAGGUGGGGUAUGUGUCCAUAGCAGUUCAGAAUCAUAUCUAUUUUUCGAGGUGAAGGAAAAGCAAGAUAGAGAUUCCAGCCUUGUCAACCUAAAAGAAUCAGUCAAAGAUCAGAAGGUUAAGGUUUUCUCCCAAGGGGGAGAUGGUGUCUUGCGUUGUCAAAGUCGUCUCUGUGUUCCAGGUGUAGAUGAAUUGAGGCAGCAAAUUCUUGUAGAAACGCACGGUGCACGCUACUCUAUUCAUCUAGGGGCUACAAAGAUGUACCAUGACUUGCGGGAGAUCUAUUGGUGGAGUGGGAUGAAGAGAGAUAUUGCAGAGUUUGUGGCUAAGUGCUUUAUAUGUCAGCAGGUUAAGAUAGUGCAUUAGAAUCUUAGUGGUUUCAUACAACAAUUCUCUAUCCUAACUUGGAAGUAGAAAGUUGUGAACAUGGACUUCUUGACGGGUUUGCCUCAUACUCAUCAUCAACAUGAUUUAGUUUGGUUUAUUGUAGACAGAAUGACCAAGUCAGCUCAUUUCCUUCCAGUUCAUACCUCUUAUUCAGUUGAGGAUUAUGCCAAACUCUACAUCAGAGAGGUGGUCAGAUUGCAUGGUGUUUCGUUAUCUAUUAUCUCAUACAGAGGUACCCAGUUCACCUCUUAUUUCUGGAAAGCAUUCCAAAAGGGUCUUGGUACCUAAGUCCAUCUCAGUACAACCUUUCAUCCUCAGACAGAUGGUCAAGGUGAUAGGACCAUUCAGACUUUAAAAGAUAUGCUAAUGGCGUGUGCAAUUGAUUUCAAGGGAAGUUGGGAUGGCACUUGCCUUUGAUUGAGUUUGCAUACAACAAUAGCUAUUAUUCUAGUAUUCAGAUGGCUCCAUUUUAAGCUCUCUAUGGUAGGAGAUACAGAUCUCUAGUUAGUUGAUUCGAAGUUAGUGAGGCCAUAGCCAUAGAGAUUGACUUAGUAUUCGAUGCCUUAGAGAAAGUUCAGUUGAUUAGAUAAAGGCUCAAGAUAGCUCAGAGCCAACAGAAAUCAUAUGUCGAUGUACGCAGAAAGGAUCUCGAGUUUGAGAUUGGUGAUUAUAUCUAUUUAAAGAUCUCUCCUAUGAAGAAAGUGAAGAGAUUCGGCAAGAAGGGAAAGAUUAGUCCUUGAUAUGUCGGUCCCUUCAAGAUUUUCAGUCGCUUCGGCAAGGUACCUUAUAAGCUUGAGUUGCCUUUAGAUCUAGCCUCAGUUCAUCCAUUCUUCCAUGUUUCUUUGCUCAAGAAGUGGGUAGGUGACCCAGCAGUUGUAGUCCCUAUUCAGAGCAUUGAUGUUCAGAAUAGCUUCUCUUAUGAAGAGAUUCCAGUCAAGAUUCUUGACUAUCAGACUCGUAGACUAAGGAACAAAGAGGUCCCUCUAGUCAAAGUUCUUUGGCAAAAUCAGUCCAUUGAGGGAGCUACUUGGGAAGCAGAAGCAGAUAUGCAUACCAAUUGUCCUCACCUCUUCUCCGCUAAUUUAGAUCUAGCUCAAGGUAACAGUCUUCCUUAAGCUUAUUCAGUUUCAUUUUCAGUACCUAUCACAAAAUUGGUAUCAAGUACCAUUACAUAUUCAGUCAUGCAUUCAUGUAUCAGUUCAGUUAUAUAAUCAUGCAUCAGAUAUGCAUUCUCAUUGUGAGAAGUUCAGUUCAUCAGAACACUUAGUCAUGCACUCAUGAAUCAGUUACACAUGCAUCAGAUAUGCAUGUCCAGUAUAAUAUAAAUUCAGCUUAUUUGUAAUGAAAUCACAUUUCAGUCACUCAUGUUCAGUUCAUGUUCAGCUUAUUGUUUCCCCUCUCAGUUAGUCUCAUUCGAGGGCGAAUGUUUCCAAGGGGGAGUUAUUGUAAGACCCCAUAAAAUUCUAAGUUUAAAUUCAGCUCCUUAAGACUUGAUAAGGAAAUCCAACACUUAGAAGAAUUUUUACUAAGUGUUAAAUACACUUAGUCUCCUUUUAUACCUCCGAACUUUGGGGAUUUAUUUGAUGACCUUUCCGACUUCUAUUUUUGAAUUUUUAAGUUGCGUUAUGAUCAUGGAAGUGAAUAGUACAUCUCGGGUGAGUUUUAGAAUUUUCGGAAUCCGUUUAGGAAGUGUUUGGAUUUCAAAACAGAAGCACCAUGCGAUUUGCAUGCAUCGCAUGCUCUAUAGCAUGCUCCAGAAAUUUUCAGCAUUUCAGGGUCAACUUCAAACGAUCAUAACUUCCUGUAUAUAAUGAAAUGUGAGAGCUUCUACCUAUUAAUCGAAAGCUAUUUGAGUGUUAUUUCUAGUGCAAUUAGUUUCAUUUAGUUUUCACAUCUAGGUAAGAAGUUAUGAUCAAUUUACUUCAGCCUAUCAGCCUGAAAACAACAGAGGACAGCUGCGUCUUUCUCUCUUUCUCCAGGGGUAUUUUAGUCUUUUCCACCUCUAUAUAUAUACACAAAAACACGAGAAUCAGUCAUAAUUUAGCAACAUAAGCUUGUUUUCUCUAAAUAUUCAUCAAGAACAAGUAUAGGGUUUUCAUUGGAGCUUCAAGAAUUAAGGAAUUUCACCGUUAAUCUUCAAGAAUCUUUUAUCUAAGGUACGCAUAGUGUUGAUUCAUGAAUUCCUUUCAUCCAUGAAACUCAAAAGCCCUAUUUUAAAUCUAUAAAUCAUGAUAUUUAUGUUGUGGGUUGAUUAUAACCAUGUUGUUGAUGUAAAUUAAAUUUUAAUUCCAUGAGUCAACUCAAAAAAUCAUGAAAACUAAUUUAUUUUGUAUUAUUAUUCAUAUGAACUUUAUGUUGAGUUCUUGAAAUUGCAAGUUGGACGUUGAUGACCAUGUUGUUGGUGUUGGAUGAUUCCCAAGUUGAAAUCUUUAGGUGAUUUUAUGAAACAUGUUAGUAUAUAAGUUGAAAUCCAUAAAUUUGGUGGUUUAAGAUUUGUUGAAUUGAUGAUUUUACCUAUGUCCAAAAUUGUACAUGUAAGGUGUUUGAUAAGAUGCCUAAGAAACUAGAAAUCAUGUAAUAUAGCUAAAUUGAGACGAAAUGAUGGAUUCAUGAUACACCUCUAUGUCCAAAUGGUUUCCAUGCUAUGAAGGUGUUGUAAACCUUGUUAGGUUGUUCAUGAACUAGCUCUAUGGAUUUAUGCCAUGUCUAUUUGCAAUCCCAUUUAUGUACAAGAUUGUGAUAGCCAUGUAUGUUAUGAAAUUCCCCAAGUUAUGGUAUUAUGGAUUGUUGAUGUUGGUCACGUAUUCAAGAAAGUUAUGCUUCAUCAGUUUCCUUCUAUCGAGUCCUGGGGGUACUUGUACCCAAAAAAUAUAGCUGUGUGUCUAGAGCCAUGUCAUGUUUUCACUAUAUCCUCAGUCAAGCCAUGUUCAGUAGAAUUCAGUCAGUCAUGUGACUCAGGAAAAAUCUCAGUAAUCUCAUGAACUCAGUCAGUAAUAGAAUUUGGUAACAUUUCGUCAAACAACGAAAUUCAGUAAACUCAGUCCAUGUAUCAUUCAGUUUAUCAUGUUCAUUGUCUGUUUAGAUGGGAGUAGUAAUUAGCACCGAGUGAACCCAAGGAUGGGAACUCACCUGCCAGUAGAGGGUGUGAUUCUUAAAAACAAUCUUUGCAUUUCAGAACUACGUAGCCAGCAUAGAUUGAGACAUUAAUACCUGUCAGUUGAGGGUAGAUGAGGUGGCUUAACCUGUCAGAUGAGGGUUCCCACUAUUCUCAUUAGAGUACCUGCCAAAUGAGGGUCACUCACAGCUUAUCCUUACCAGUAGUGCGGUUUUGACAUCCUUCCAGUCAGGGUACCGAUUGGACCCCAGCUCAGCUAUAAUAUUAAUAUAUGGGGCAUGUCGGUUAGAUAACUAUUUUCCACAGUCUCAGUAUUAGUAAAAGAACUUAGAUAGUUCUUCAGAAUAUCAGGGCCGUCAGAUACAGUUACUCAUGUUAUUAGUUAUCAGGACUAUCAGAUAUAGUCAAUAGUAUCAGUCAUAUCAGUUAUCAGUAAACUCAUGAUAUCAGUACCCAGACUCAAUAAUCAUGUAUCAUUAUCUCAGUUACACUCAUUAUGUAUUUAUGCAUGUAUUCUUAUGUUUAUGUUAGUCAGUAUUGUUCAUGCAUAUGAACCCCAUGCAUUAACUUACCUCACUUGCAUACUUAGUGCAUUCAAUUGUACUGACGCAUAUGUGCUAUGGUGUUUUAUUUUAUACCAGAGGUUCAGAAGCACAAGAUUCAGAGCACCAGUAGCAUUUCAGUUUCAGCAGCAGAGUCGCAGUGAGUCCUCAUACUUCGAAGACUAUUAUUCUAGCAUUACUUAUUUCAGUUGCUUUCAGUAUAUGGAGUUAGUUGGGAACAUAUCCCCUCAACUCCUUAUUCAGACAUAUGUAGAGACUUUCAGAUUUGAUUCAGACUUUAGUAUUUUCAGCUGUGGUAUUGUGAUACCGUAUUUUAGAUGUUAUGACUUUAUUAGAUGUGAACCUUAUGGCCUUACAGCUCUUAAGUAUUCCACUUUAUCAUGUAUAUUAUGUAGUGUACAGGUACAAAUAUCAGUCAUGGGUUAGCUUGUGUUCCUUUGGGGUCAUGGGCACCGUGUAGCAUUUUGAUUACCAGAAUUGGGGCGUUACACAUUUGCAUGACAAAUAUCUUGUUAUCUAUAUUGGAGAAGAGCGAUUAGCAAAAAGGCUAAGAGAUGAUCAUUUAAUUUUUUUACUAACUCGGGCAAAGUUUUUUGAUAAGGUAAUGAGCUUGGAGUUACAUAACAUUUGAUAGGCUUGGUAGAGUCGGUUUAGAUCAAAUGUUACAUAAUUCCUUGCUUAUUAAUUCAUCAAAUCCCUUGAAGGUUGGUUUAGCAAGAUACAUUGAGGAACACUCGAUAGAAGUGAGUUAUUCAAUGCUUGAGACCAUAUCUUGACUGUGCAUCAACACAUUUUGACCUAAAAACAUACACAACGACUCUACAUGUAUCCUUUAAGGCUUCUGAAGAAAGUAUUUUGAAGGGCUUCUAAAAUGCCACAACUUCAAAGAUAGUGUUCCUGAUCGAGCUCAAAAGAGAUCAGGAACUCUAUACCAACUUCAAAGAUGGCAACGAAAAACUUGAAUACCAAAUCGGCAAGCUGGAGGAAAGCUUGAAAAUUAUCAAAAUUUACAUACUACAGCAAGCCUCUGAUCUUCUCCAAUAAAUGUUGAAAGCAUGCUAAGUCUAGAAAAUGCAAUCAAUUAUAACUAUAUUGCUAAGGAAUUAAUGAUACUCAAACCGUCUUUCAAUCUUAUUUGUGGUUCUGAUUAGGUCAACAAAAAUGGACUUAAUCGAAACCACAAACAAGAAGGCAUGAGAUGCAAUUUAAAAUUCAAAAAUUUCUGCCUUCUCUUAGAUUUCUUAUUUUAACUACAGUUGCUAUUGGUGUAAGUUUUUUAGGCUUAUUGUACAUUAUUUCAACCCUCGAUGCUCGUAAAGCUGCUUUCUUGUUCUUCUUCUAUUAUCUAGAAUCUAGGUAAUAAUCCCGACAACACUACCUAGAUGCAUCUCCCUAGAAAAAUGACCAUCUGCACUAUUUUUCUCUUAGAGAAACAACAGACAAAUUUUUCAUUACCGGAUACAAUUUUAUAUUUUUACUUGAUAGAAAUUUCUCAUAUUUUAAGAUAAUUCAUCGGCCAUAUUCACUAGAAGUUACUUUCUACCCUAUGUAUCCUCUUUAAUUAGUUCUCAGAUGAUAUAGUCUUUCAUCAACCACCCAUUUUUCCUUGAAGGCAUUCUCCACUGCACCUUCUGUAGUAUAAUCAUCACCCCGAGCAACCGAACUAUAUAAAUUUAGGCUAGAGCAAUAACUACAUUGGUUUUUCAUUCUUGUUAGAUGCAAUGCUAGGCUUCGAAGGCCUUCUUAGUAUCCAAUGCACCCUAAAAGUUAGUCCAAUCACUAUUGAAUCUCUUUACAAUGACACUAAAAUUAGAUUCCUUCACAAUGCUUGACACAUAAACAUUAGCAACAAUCAACAUUAAAUCUUAACAGGAUAUCAGAACCAUAUUCAUGGUCCCUCGGCCUUAUCAGUUUAGACCUACCAAACUUAACUGUAAAAUUGCAGAUAUCUUAUUUGAAAGAUCAAUGACUAAUCGCUAAAAACAACAUUCACAAAAUCAGUGUACUCUAUGUGUGUUUCCAUGAUAACAUUAUCAGUAAUACGUACCUCCCACAUAUGAAGUGGUUUUAUCUACAUGCAGCUUAUUCCUCCAAACCCAUCUUUACUACAACCUCUUGUGUUGGUUGCCCAAAAGUUGAUCAACUUUUAGUUUUUUAUAUCUACAAAGAAGAGGAAAAAAAUAAUGUCAAAGAAAGAACUUUCAGUUCCUUAUAUCAUUUGCAACAGAUGUGGAGUCUGUUACAAAAGAUGUGGAGUCUGUUGUAUCAGAUAUGGAGUCUGUUGCAAUAGAUGUAGAGUCUAUUGGAAUAUAUCAAACCAGCCUUGCUGGUGGUUUGAUUUGUUCCAACAGUUGCACCGUCUGUUGCAAUAUCAAUAAUAGCAUAAACUAUAAAGAAAUAAUAAAUAAAAAAUAUCAACAACAAAGAAGCAACAACAUUUGUUCCAACACCAUCAACAACAAAGAAGCAACAUCCUUUUUUCCAACACCAUUAACGACACCACACCACAAGUUCCAACAAUGCCAACCCUACCAACAACAUCAAUAACAACAUCAACAACAAAGAAACAAACAAAAUACAUAUAAAAAAAUAAUAGUUGACUUUUUUUGUAUAUUGUAAUAAAAAUUCUUAAUUUAUUUAUUCAACACUUAAAAGUUCCUUCAUAUUUUUUAAAUAAAUAUGAUAUGGGUAAAUGGUAAUUAAGUAAAAAAUAGAUGUAAAUAACUUGCAAAGAAGAAGAUGAGAAUGAAAGAGCACUAGUGAAACAUACCUUAAAGUCAAAAGGGGAUCAAAACAAUAAUUUCAUUCAAGGAAAUAUAUGGAUCGGUUUAGAUCUGGAAGGAUCUUUUUGAUAAAGAGAAGAGAAAAGAGAGAAAAAAGGUUGUGAUAACCCUAAAGAGGAAAGAAAGAAAAAGAUGAGAGAUGAAUAAAAUAAAUUUAGGGCUAAAGCUGAAGAAGAGAUGAGAUAAUUCUAGAUAUAUUAUGUACGUAGACAUGGGUUUCAAUAUUCAUUAAUUAAUAUUCAUUAAUAAUUUUAGGGGCACGAGGAAGACUAGUGACAUUGAAAAGUUAAGAUAAGACUACCCAAUGAACUCAUUUUUGAGUUAUCCAAGAAAUAUUUUUAUCAUAUUUUGUAGUACUACUUUAUCUACUCAAACAGAAACUUGCUUUAAAAUUAACAGAAAAAAAUUCAAACAGAUAUGUUAUCUAUUGCAAUAGAUAGCAAUAUCUGUUUGAAAAUCUCAAUAACACAUUAUCUGUUAUAGCAGAUAUAAACAUCUGUUUAAAAAUUCUAACAGCUCAGUCAUCUAUGACAACAGAUGCAAAUGUCCAUUUGAUAAUUAAAUCAGAUAUGUCAUCUGUUACAACAAAUAUCAAUAUCUAUUUAAAUAUCCUAACAGCUCAGUCAUCUGUGACAACAGAUGCAAAUGUGUAACACUCCAAAUCUCGUACCCAGAACGCUACACGAUGCUCAUGACCCCAAAGAAUCAUAAGUUAACCCAUGACUGAUAUCUAUACCUGUAUGCUGCAUAAUAUACUAUAAAAUGCGGAAACAUGAACAUAAAAGGUCAUAAGGUUCAAACUGUAACAUAAUAUCUGAGGAAAAGUAUAACAUCUGAAUGGGGCAUGAAAUACCUAAAACAACUGAAAUAAACUAACAAAAUAUAAUAGUCUGAAAAGCCUCUGACUGACUGAACUGUCUGAAUGAGGAGUUGAUGAGACAUGUCCCUAACUAACUCCAACUAAUAAACUAAUUAAUGAGAUAAUAAAGAAAUAAUCAUGUCAUUGAAGGAUGAGGACUCACUGCUAACUCUGAUUGCUGAUAUCUGAAAUCUACUAAUGCUUUGGAGCUCGUGUCUCUAAACCUAUGGUAUAAGACACCAUAGCGCGAAUGCGUCAGUACGACUAAAUGUACUGGUAUACAUGUUAGGUCUGCUAAAUGCAUGGGGUUCAUAUGCAUGAACAAUAACAAUAAUAAAUUGACUAUCAUGAGCGUGAGAAUACAUGCAUGAGACAUGAUAACUGAUACUGUUACCGUGAUAACAUAAUUGUUAAAUCUGAAUACUGAUAACAUGAUAUACUGAUAACAAGAUAUACUGAUAACUGAUAUAACUGAAACAUGAGUUAUUGUAUCUGACAGUCCUGAAUCUAAUGGAACUAGCUGAGUUCUGUACUGUAUCUGAGUUGAUUAUAUCUGAUAGUCUUAAAAUCUGAAGAACUAUUUGAGUUCUUUUACUGAGACUGAUAAUGAAACUGUGGAAAGUAGUCAUCUAGCCAAUAUGCCCAAAUAACUCAUUAUAGUGGAACUGGGGUCCAAUCUGUGCCCUGAUUGGAAGGGUGUCAAUACUGCACCACUGGUAAGGACAACAUGUGAGCAACCCUAUACUAGCAGGUUACUCUAAUGAGAAUAGUGGGAACCCUCAACUAGUAGGUUAAUCCACCUUAUCUACCCUUUACUAGCAGGUAUGAUGUCUUAACCUAUGUUGGUUACAUAGUUCUAGAAUGCAAGGAUUGCUUCUAAGAAUCACACCCUCUACUGGCAGGUGAGUUCCCAUCAUUGGGUUCACUCGGUGAUAAUUUCUACUCCCAUCUGAAUAGACACUGAACAUGAUUUACUGAACUGAACGUGGACUGAGUUACUAAAUCACGUUAACUGAUAAAAUACUACUAAUAUCUGACAACUGACUGAGUUCAUAAGGUUAUUGAGAUUUCCUGAGUCAUAAGACUAUCUGAAGUAUAAGGAUCAUGUCUUGACUGAGAGUAUCAUGAAAACAUGACGUGGAUAUAGGCACACAACUAAUAUUUUAGGUACAAGUACCCCCAGGACUCAAUAAAAGGAAACUGACAAAGUAUGACUUACUUGAACACAUAAUAAUCACCAUAAUCCAUAAUUCAUUUAUUGAAGAAUUUCAUCAAAUCGGUGAUAGGCAGAAACUUGUACAUACAAGGGGAUUUCAUGAUAUCAUGCUAGUUGGGCAUUUUCCUUCAUCUAGGCAUUUAAUCAAACACAUGGUAGGCAUAGUAUGUGUAAACAACAUUAUACAAUAAUUAAACAUCAUGAUUCAAUUCUAAUUUCAUCAUUCAAGGGUUUCAUCAUAGGUUUGCAUAAAUCUAUAUCUAUACUAAUCAAACCCAUAUAAAAUUUAUCACCCAACAUGAAAUAGAAUUCAAUUACUCAUUAUCAAUAUGAACAAGAGCAGCCCAAUUAUGAAAUUCAUAAAGAAAAUCCAUAAACUUGAACUUAGAAAAGAUAUUCUUGGGCUUCAUGGAUGAAAGGAGUCUAUGAAUAAACACUAUGCAUACCUGGGUUGAGUUUCUUGAGGUUCUUGAACUUGAAGAAUUUGAAUCUCUUUAAUUCUUGAAGAAAAAUUGGAUUUUAUGCUUGGGGCUUAAUCUUAGAGAGAAAACCCUAAUUUUGUUGUUGUGAAAUAAUAAUGAACAAAUAAGUUAAGGUCGGAUAUAACUGAGUAUAUAAGCGGGUGGUAAAUAAUCAAAAUACCCCUGUUAAAAUUACUUAAAAAUACUGAGUGGGACAUGCGAUAGUGGGGUGCGAUGGUCCAUCGCUGGGUCGAUGGUCCGUCGAACUGGGACCAAAGUUGGGACCUACUGCCUUGAUGCGAUGGUGGGGUGCAGCGGUCUGUCUCUAGUCUGUUGGACCUCUCCGUCGUACUCAUCCAGAGAGCUGGCUCACUGCCUCAAUACGACGGUGGGGUGCGAUGGUCUGUCGCUACUCCGAUGGUCCGUCAGUCUUCAUCGUCGUACUUGGGCGGUUCUAACUGCCUGAUUAAAGUGUCCAUAACAUUUUCGACCGAUACCGGAGUUUGAUGAAAUUGGUAUAGUUGGAAAGUUAAUUCAAUUUUUCAUGUGCUAAAAAGUGAAAAUCAUAAAAAUAUCAUGUGUACAAAAGUGAAUUCAUAUUUCCAAUCAAGUUUCUAACAUUCUUGAGAUGAUUUCAAGCUAGGAAAAAGGUACGGGUAUUAUAAUAUCUCCCCUUUGAGAACAUUCGUCCUCGAAUGAGACUGAGAGUGAGGGGAAGAACUUAAACUAACGUACAUACUAAACAUGAAUAACUGGAACAUGAAUUCAUGACUGGCAUGACUGAUAACUGAACAUAUCAUACUGAACAUGCAUAUCUGAUGCAUGUGUAACUGAUUCAUGGAUGCAUGACUGAGUGUUCUGAGGAACUAAGUUUCUCACAAUGAGAAUGCAUGUUUGAUGCAUAAUUAUGUAUGUAAUUGAACUGAUACAUGAAUUCAUGACUUAAUAUGUAAUGGUACUUGAUACCAAGUUUGUGAUGAACACUGAACAUAAAACUGAGUAAGCUUAAGGAGAACUGUUACCUUGAGCUUGAUCUGAGUUGGCAGAGAAGAGGUGAGGAUACUUGGUAUGCAUGUCUACUUCUGCUUCCCAAGUAGCUCCCUUAACGGACUAAUUUCACUGAAGAACUUUAACUAGAGGGACUUCUUUAUUCCUCAGUCUAUGAGUUUGAUAGUCUAGGAUUUUGACUGGAAUCUCUUCGUAAGAGAGGCUAUUCUGAACAUCUAUGCUUUGAAUAGGGAAUACAACGUAUGGUUCACCUAUUCACUUUUUGAUCAAAGAGACAUGAAAGACUAGAUAAACUGAGGCUAGAUCUGAAGGAAACUCGAUCUCAUAAGCUACCUCGCCGAAACGAUUGAGAAUCUUGAAGGGACUGAUAUAUCGAGGACUGAGCUUUCCCUUCUUUCCGAACGUCUUCACUCCCUUCAUGGGAGAGAUAUUUAGAUAGACAUAAUCACCAAUCUCGAACUCGAGUUCUUUUCUACAAACAUUUGUAUAAGACUUCUUUUGGCUCUGAGCAGCCCGGAGUCUUUCUCUAAUCAACUAGACUUUUCUAAGGCAUCGAAUACCAAGUCAAACCUUAUAACUGGGACUUCACUAACUUCAAACUAAACAAUUAGAGAUCUACAACUCCUAACAUAGAGAGCUUCGAAUGGAGCCAUCCAAAUACUGGAAUGAUAGCUGUUAUUGCAUGCAAACUCAAUCAAAGGCAAGUUGUCAUCCCAACUCCCUUUGAAAAUCAAUUGCACACGCCCUUAUCAUAUCUUCUAGGGUAUGAAUCAUCCUCUCUGGUUGAUCAUCUGUCUGAGGAUGGAAGGCUGUACUAAGAUGAGCUUGGGUACCAAGACUCUAUUGGAAUGCUUUCUAGAACUGAGAGAUGAACUGGGUACCUUUAUCUGAGAUAAUAGAUAGCGGAACAUAGUGCAAUCUGACCAACUCUCUGAUGUAGAUUCUGGCAUAAUCCUCAGCUGAAUAAGAGGUAUGAACUGGAAGGAAAUAAGCUGAUUUGGCCAUUCUAUCUAUAAUAACCCAGAUUGAAUCAUGCUGAUGAUGAGUUCGAGAAAAACCCAUCACGAAGUCCAUGUUCACUUCUUCCCACUUCCAGGUAGGAAUAAUGAACUCCUGCAUAGGACCACUAGGCUUCUGAUGCUCUAUAUUAACCUGUUGAUAUGUAGAGCACUUAGCCACAAACUCUGCAACAUCUCUCUUUAUCCCACUCCACUAAUAGAUCUUCCACAGGUCGCGGUACAUCUUUGUGGCCCCUGGAUGAAUAGAGUAGCACACACCAUGUGCUUCUACAAAAAUUCGUGGCCUUAAGUCAUCUACACCUGGAACACAAAGACGACCCUGAAAAUGCAAAACACCAUCUCCCCCUUAGGAGAAAAUGUCUACUUUCUAAUUUUGGACUGACUUUUUCAAAUUGAGAAGGCUGGGAUCUCUAUCUUUCUUUUCUUUUACCUCAAAAACUAGAGAUGAUUCCGAACUACUCUGAACCCAUAUAUCACCCUCCCCUGUAUAGACUAAGCGAACGCCUAGUAUGGCAAGCUAAUGGACUUCCUGAGCUAACUUCUUCUUACUGUCCUCAACAUGAGCAAUACUACCUAUAGACAGUCUACUAAAAGCGUCGGCCAUAACGUUGGCCUUGCCCGAAUGAUAAAAGACACUCAUGUCAUAAUCUUUCAAGAGAUCUAACCACCUUCUUUGAUGAAUAUUGAGAUCUUUCUAAGAAAAGACAUAUUGAAGGAUCUUAUGAUCCGUGAAGAUAUCUACAUAAACUCCGUAUAGGUAAUGCCUCCAAAUCUUUAAGGCAAAAACUACGGAUGCUAACUUAAGAUCAUGAGUAGGAUAAUUCUUCUCAUGGGAUUUAAGCUGUCUGGAGGCGUAGGCUAUGACCUUACCAUGCUGCAUAAGGACAUAACCCAAACCUACUCUAGAUGAAUCACAAAACACCACGAACCCAUCUGAACCAUCUGGAAGAGCUAAGACUGGAGCUGAGGUAAAUCGAGUCUUCAACUCCUGAAAACCCUUCUCGCAAGGAUCUGACCACUGAAACUUAACUUUCUUCUACGUCAAUCUGGACAUAGGGAACGCAAUAGACAAAAAUCCCUCAACAAACCAUUUGUAAUAGCUAGCCAAACCUAAGAAACUCCUGAUGUCUGAUGGAGAGAAGGGCGAGGCCAGUUUCUUACUGCUUCGAUCUUUUGAGAAUCUACUCUAUUGCCAUCACUGAAAAUGAUAUGGCCAAGGAAUGCUACUGACCUUAGCCAAAAUUUUCACUUACUGAAUUUGGUGAAUAGCUAAUAAUUUUAGAGAGUCUGAAGUACUAUUUUGAGAUGGUCUGCAUGAUCACGCUCACUGUAGGAAUAGACCAGAAUAUCAUCUAUGAAGACUAUGAUGAACAUAUAUAAGUACUGUUUGAACACGUGGUUUAUCAAGUCCAUGAAAGCUGCUGGGGCAUGGGUAAGACCAAAUGACAUAACUAAAAAUUUGAAGUGACCAUACUGAGUACGGAAAGCUAUUUUUGGAAUGUCACAUUCUCUAACUCUGAGCUGAUGAUAGCCAGAUCUGAAGUCUAUCUUAGAGAAAUAGCUAGCACACUGAAGUUGGUCAAAUAAGUCAUCGAUUCUGGGAAGAGGAUACUUGUUCUUGAUCAUAACUUUAUUGUGCUAACGGUAAUCAAUGCACAUUCUGAGAGAACUGUCUUUCUUGCACACGAAUAAGACUAGUGUGCCCUACGGGGACACACUAGGCCUGAUGAAUCCCUUAUCUAUGAGAUCCUUCAACUGUUCAUUCAAUUCUCUGAGUUCUGCUGGUGCCAUUUUAUAUGGCAGAAUAGAGAUAGGCUGAGUAUCUAGAAGAAGAUCAAUGUUGAAGCCUAUUUCCCUUAUGAUAAGAAUUCCUAGAAGAUCUUCGAAAAAGACAUAUGGAUAUUCAUUCACGACUAAGACUGAAUCAAGACUGGGAGUUUCGAAACUAAAAUCCUUAAUACGAACAAGAUGAUAGAUACAUCCCUUGGAUAUUAUUUUCCUCGCUCGAAGGUAGGAAAUAAGCUGACCUCUAAAAGAGAAUACACUACCCUUCUACUCAAGGAUGGGUUCAUUCAAGAAUUGAAACUGGACUAUUAUGUUUCUGCAGUCGACCGUGGCAUAAUUGGAAUAAAUCCAAUACAUGCUGAGAAUGACAUCAAAAUCAGUCAUCUCUAAUUCGACUAAGUCUACUGAAGUGAAUUUUUAAAAUAUCAUAAUUGGAAAGUUCCUGUAUACUCACUGGGCUAUGAUGGUUUUACCCACUGGGGUAGAGAAUGAGAAGCGCUCUGCUAGAAUUUUGGGACUGACUCCGAAAUCGCCUGCUAUAUAGGGAGUAACAAAAGAUAAAGAAGCACCUGGAUCUAGCAAAGCAUAAAUAUGCACAUAAAAGAUCUGUAACAUACCAGUAACUACAUCAGGAGAAUAUUCCUAAUCUUUCCAAGACUAAAGAGCAUAGAGUCUAUUUGGGCGUUGCCCACUAGUAGCACUAGAGGUGGUACCCUACUGAUUUGGGCGAUCAGACUGAGCUGAAGAGCGAUUCUAUUGGCUCAGAGGACCUGACUGCGAACAAUCUCUAACUCUGUAGCCAGGUUUACCCCACCCAAAAUAAGUAUCGCAGCUAGCUUUGCAAGUACCCUGGUGGUACUUGCCACAAGUUUGGCAAAGAGGAUAGAUGCAGGCACUGCUAACAUUACCCUGGGAUUUAGAACCUGGCGCUUUAUCUUUGUUACCCUCCCUGAACUUAGGAACUGGAGAACUGGCUGAAGAAGAAGCUGGAACUGAUGACUUAGGACAAAAUUAAGAACGGUUUCCUCCUCCUGAUUUAGGCUGAGCAAAGUUGAAACUACCUGUCCUUGCUCUCUUAUUCUGCUUCUCCCUCAUCUUAAUAUUUUACUCCUCUAUCUACUGAGCAUGAGUCAUAAGCCGAGCUAAAUUCAUGUCACUAUUUAGCAUAGCGGAUCUACACUCAUUAACUAUGCUAUCAUUCACUCCUGAAAUGAACUUACUCAUUCUUACCCUGCUAUCUGUAACCACAUGAGGGGCAUAUCUAGCUAAUUGGGUAAAUUUAAGAUAAUACUCUUUCACUGUCAUAUUCCCUGCCUGAGGUUGAUGAAUUCCAACACCUUAGCUUCUCUAAGUUCUAGUGGGAAGAACCUAUCAAGAAAAGUAGAAGUAAACUCCUCCCACUCAACUGACCCUGCAUUAUCUGCCCUUUCUGACUUCUAUUGCCUAAGCCAAGUAUGAGCCACAUCCUACAACUGAUAUGUAGCUAGAUCAACACUCUCACUAAAAGUAAUCCCCAUUAUGUUAGUAACUUUUUGCACCUGAUCUAGGAAUUCCUGAGUGUCCUCAUCUUUCUUAGACCCAAGAAAGGAUGGAGGAUUCAUUCAGGUUAAGUCUUAAAUUCUGGAUACAGCUAAAUUAGCCAUUGGGUUGGCCGGAAUGACAAAUGUUCAUUCAUUCUGAGCAGCAACUGACUGAGCAAGAGUAGUGAAUGCGGCCCUGAACUCCGCAUGAGAAACAUGUUUGUCCAAGGGAUCUUCUUGGACAGGCUGGGUUCUUCUCUUGGGAGGCAUGUUUUGAAAUAAAGAGAAAAAAUGGAUUAGACCGAGAUAUUUACUUGUGAUUUUGCUCACAGUCAUGACAUGGAUGCUGAAAGAAGGAAAACUAUUCCUAAAUAUCUAAUAGUCUCUUGUACAUAAAUAUGGCACGCAACACACCCAUGUACAAGACUCUAUUAGAUGGGACUUUUAGACUUCCUAGGAUACUAUUGAACCUUUAGCUCGGAUGCCAAGUUUGUAACAUCUCAAAUCGAGUACCCAGAAUGCUAUACAGUGCUCAUGACCCCAAAGGACCACAAGCUAACCCAUGACUGAUAACUGUACCCUGUAUACUACAUAAUAUACAGUAAAAUGCGAAAACAUAAACAUAAAAGUCCAUAAAGUUCAAACUGUAACAUAAUAUCUGAGGAAAAGUAUAACAUCUGAAUGGGGCAUGAAAUACCCAAAACAACUAAAAUAAACUAACUGAACAUAAUAGUCUGAAAAGCCUCUAACUAACUGAACUAUCUAAAUAAGGAGUUGAUGAGAUAUGUCCCCAACUAACUCCAACUAAUAAACUAAUUAAUGAGAUAAUGAAUAAAUGAUCAUGUCCUCGAAGGAUGAUAACUCACUGAUAACUCUGACUGCUGAUAGCUGGAAUCUACUAAUGCUCUGGAGCGUGUCUCAGAACCUAUGGUAUAAGACACCAUAGUGCGAAUUUUUCAGUAUGACUGAAUGAACUGGUAUGCAUGUGAAGUAGGCUAAAUGCAUGGGGUUCAUAUGCAUGAACAAUAAUAAUAACAAACUGACUAUCAUAAGCAUGAUAAUACAUGCAUGAGGCAUGAUAACUGACACUGAUAUCGUGAUAACAUGAUUACAGAAUCUGAAUAUUGAUAACAUAACAUACUAAUAACUUAUAUAAUAGAUAACAUGAGUAACUAUAUCUGACAGUCCUGAAUCUAAUGAAACUAGAUAAGUUCCAUACUGUAUCUGAGUUGACUGUAUCUGACAGUUCUGAAAUCUGAAGAACUAUUUAAGUUCUUUUACUGAGACUGAUACUGAAAUUGUGGGAAGUAGUCAUCUAACCAACAUGCCCAAAUGACGCAUUAUAGCGGAAUUAGGGUCUAAUCUAUGCCCUAAUUGGAAGGGUGUUAAAACUGCGCCACUAGUAAAGACAACAUGUGAACAACCCUCUACUUAUAGGUUACUCUAAUAAGAACAGUGGGAACCCUCAACUAUCAGGUUAAGCUACCUCAUCUAACCUCAACUAGCAGGUAUGAUGUCUCAACCUACGCUGGCUAUGUAGUUCUGGAAUGCAAGGAUUUCUUCUAAGAAUCACACCCUCUACUAGCAGGUGAGUUCCCAUCCUUGGGUUCACUUAGUGCUAAUUUCUACUCCUAUCUGAAUAGACACUGAACAUGAUUUACUGAACUGAACAUGGACUGAGUUACUAAAUCCCGUUGACUGAUAGAAUACUAUUGAUAUUUGACAACUGACCGAGCUUAUGAUAUUAUUGAGAUGUCCUAAGUCAUAAGACUUUCUGAAGUCUAAGAAUCAUAGCUUGACUGAGAGUAUUAUGAAAACAUGACAUGGCUCUAGGUACACAACUAAUAUUUUGGGUACAAGUACCCCAGGACUCGAUAGAAGGAAACUGAUAAAGCAUGACUUACUUGAACACAUAAUAAUCACCAUAAUCCAUAAUUCAUUUAUUAAAGCAUUUCAUUAAACAGGUGGUAGGCAUAAACUUGUACAUACAUGGGGAUUUCAUGAUAUCAUGCUAGUUGAAAAUUUUCCUUCAUCUAGGCUUUUAAUCAAACACAUGGUAGGCAUAGUAUGUGUAAGAAACAUUAUACAAUAAUUAAAUAUCAUGAUUCAAUUCUAAUAUCAUCAUUCAAGGGUUUAGUCAUAGGUUUGCAUGAAUCUAUAUCUAACUAAUCAAACCCACAUAAAAUUUAUCACCCAACAUGGAAAAGAAUUCAAUUACUCAUUAUCAACAUGAACAAGAGCAGCCCAAUCAUGAAAUUCAUAAAGAAAAUCCAUAAACUUAAACUUAGAAAAGAGAUUCUUGGGCUUCAUGGACUAAAGAAGUCCAUGAAUAAACACUAUGUAUACCUGGGUUGAGUUUCUCGAGGUUCUUAAACUUGAAGAAUUUGAAUCUCUUUGAUUCUUGAAGAAGAUUUGGAUUCUAUGCUUGGGGCUUAAUCUUAGAGGGAAAACCCUAAUUUUGUUAUUGUGAAAUAAUAAUGAACAAAUAAGCUGAGGUUGGAUAUAACUGGGUAUAUAUAAAAUCAUGGUAAACGACCAAAAUAUCCCUAUUAAAAUGACUUAAAAAUACUGAGCGGGACAUGUGAUGGUGGGGUACGAUGGUCUAUCGCUGGGUUGAUAGUCCGUCGGACUGGGACCAGAACUAGGACCUACUGCCUUGGUGCGACGGUGGGGUGCAAUGGUCCAUCGCUAGUCUGACGGUCCAUCGAACCUCUCCAUCGUACUCAUUCAGAGAGUUGGCUCACAGCCUAGAUGCGACGGUAGGGUGUGACGGUCCGUCACUAUUUCGAUGGUCCAUCGGUCUUCACUGUCGCACCUGGGUGAUUCUGACUGCCUGAGUAAAAUGUCCAUAACUUCCUUGUUCGAUACCGGAUUUUGAUAAAAUUGGUAUCGUUGGAAAGAUAAUUCAAUUUCCUACGUGCCAAAAAUUGAAAAUCUUAAAAAUAUCAUAUGUACAAAAGUGAAUUCAUAUUUCAAAGCCAGUUUUUAAUAUUCUUGAGAUGAUUUCAAGCUAGGUAAAAGGUACGAGUAUUACAAAAUAUCUAUUUGACAAUUAAAUCAGAUAUAUCAUAUGUUACAACAAAUAUUAAUAUCUAUUUGAAAAUUUCCAAUAGCUCAGUCAUCUAUCACAACAGAUAAAAAUAUCUAUUUGAUAAUUAAAUCAGAUAUGUCAUUUAUUGCAAUAGAUAUGAAUGUCUGUUAAAAAUUUCCAACAGCUCAGUCGUUUGUUCUAACAAAUUUCAUUGCAAUUGAUUUAGGUAGAACUAGGGAUGAACAAAUAAGUUCAUAGGGUCAACUAUAACUUAAAUUGAGUCUUUGUAAUUACAUGGUGUUGGUAUUGUAUUCAACUUGACCCGAGUCAUCGACCGAUCACUUUGAGUUGAAAAGAUUCUCAUUAACUUAAUGUUAAGCUAGUACCUAAAUUAAUUUAGGUGGAACUAGGGAUGAAUGAGUUCUCAUUAACUUAAUGCUAAGAUAGAAUCUUAAUUAAUUUAGGUGAAACUAGGGAUGAAUGAGUUCAUAGGGUCAACAACAACUUUAAUUUUGUUUUUGCAAUUGCAUGGAGUUGGUAUUGCGUUUAUCCCGACUCGAGACGUUGAUCGAUCACUCUGAGUUGAAAUGAGUUCUCAUUAACUUAAUUUUAAGAUAGUACCUAAUUUUAUUUAGGUGGAAAUAGGGAUGAAUGAGCUCAUAGAGUCAACUACAACUUUAAUUGAGUCAUUGUAAUUGGAUGAUGUUGUUAUUGCGUUUAUCCUUACUCGAGUCAUUGAUCGAUCACUUUGAGUUGAAAUUAGUUCUCGUUAACUUAAUUUUAAGAUAGUACGUAAAUUGAUUUAGGUGGAACUAGGGAUGAAUGGUCUCACAGGGUCAACUACAACUUCAAUUGAGUCGUUGCAAUUGCAUGGUAUUGGUAUUGCAUUUAUCCCAACCCGAGUCAUCGAUUGAUAACUCUAAUUUAAAAUGAGUUCUCAUUAACCUAAUGUCAAGAUAAUACCUACAUUGAUUUAGGUGGAACUAGGGAUGAAUAAGUUCAUAGGGUCAACAACAACUUCCAUUGAGUUGUUGUAAUUGCAUGGUGUUGGUAUUCUGUUUAUUACGACCCAAGUCGUUGAUCGAUCACUCUGAGUUGAAAUGAGUUCUCAUUAACUUAAUAAUAAGAUAGUAUCUAAAUUGAUUUAGGUGGAACUAGGGAUGAAUGAGCUCAUAGGGUCAACAACAACAUCAUCGAGUCUUUGUAAUUGCAUGGUGUUGGUAUUGAGUUCUUCUUGACCUAAUUCAUCGAUCGAUCACUCUGAUUUGAAAUGGGUUCUCAUUAACUUAAUGUUAAUAUAGUACCUAAAAUGAUUUAGCUGGAACAAGGAUGAAUGAUCUCAUAGGGUCACAACUUCAAUUGAGUCUUUGCAAUUGCAUGGUGUUGGUAUUGUGUUCAUCUCGACCUGAGUCGUCGAUCGAUCACUCUGAGUUGAAAUGAGUUCUCAUUAACUUAAUGUUAAGAUAGUAACUAAAUUGAUUUAGGUAGAACUAGGGAUAAAUAAGCUCAUAGGGUCAACUACAACUUCAAUUGAGUCGUUGCAAUUACAUGGUGUUGGUAUUGCGUUCAUCUCGACCCGAGUCGUUGAUCUAUCACUCUGAGUUGAAAUGAGUUCUCAUUAACUUAAUAUUUUAAAGACUAUAUCUUUUAAAAUUUUAAAAAUUAAUUAAGAUCAAUUCGGACCAAAUUAACAAUUUCAAAACUUGUCAUUCUUUUCCAAAAUUACAAAUCAACACAUACAAAUCAUCCAUUUGCGUGAAAACUUUUUCUCAUUUCAAAUAUGAAGUUCUUGCUCUUCUCUCUAUCUUUCUCAACAAUACAGACAACAACUACUUAACAUAUUGCUCAACCAUUCAAAACAAAUUGAUUUUCUUUCUAUUUCUGACCAUAUAGUUGUUAUUUUUGACUUUAUUCUAACUUGUAUUCGUUGUUUUCUGUCUUCACAGGUAACAGAGUUAGAGAAGAGUUCUACAUUUAUUAUUUAUUCUCAAAAUUAGGGCUUUUUGGUUAAUGAUGAAAAAGAAGACCUUUAGUUGUAUUAUCUUUGAGAAUGAGUUAAUAAUUUUGAGUUUUGAUGCUUAAAAAGUAGAAAACACUCGAGAAAACCCUAGUUUUUGUCUUAGUGUUUGGUUGAAUAUCGUGGUAUUGUUAGAUGGUAUUUGUGGUAUUAUUGGUGGCUAUUGGUGGUGGUGUCGGUAUUUGUAUUUUUGGUAGUGGUGUCGGUAGUCUUGAUGUUGGUAUUGGUGGUGGUAUUGGUGGCAUUGGUGGUGGCAUUGGUUGUGGUGUUGGUGGUCCAUCUGUUGCAGUAGGUGGUAGAUCUGUUGGGAGAUAUUAAAUAGGUCUUCAAACAGAUUCCCCAUCUGUUCCAAUUGAUGGGUUAUUCGUUGGAGUAAAUUUUUGUAAUGUGACGUAGAAUAAUUUAUUGAAAUUUGUCUUACCUUUUUUUAAAAAAUUAUGCAAACAAAAAUUAUGCAGACAUCAAAUGCAAUGUAUUUUUUGUUUUUCUAUUAUUUGCAGUUAAAAGAUAUCUCCCAAAAUUAAAAAAAAAACUAAAACUGAAAGUGGAUCAACUUCUGACCACCCAACAAAAAAGGCUAGAGUACAGAUAGAUUCGGAAACUUCCUGAACAAUCUCAGUCAGGGCAAAAUGAAGCUGAGAAAAGUGAUAACUCCUUCUCACCAAUGAGGCAUGAAUUAAUAUCGAAAUCUAGCAUUAUCCUCCCAAAAUCAUUAGUAUCGAUAGGUUUUGAGUUGCGAUGCCGAUAGAUAGCUCUAACAAAGUAACUGGUGAUCUUGUACUUAAAUGUCAGUUGGGGAAAGGUUUUAACGAACUUAGGAGUAUUAUAAAGAAUGAAAACAUAGACAGAAUUUUUAACAAGAUAUGCUUUGCAUACUUUCUUAAGCUACCUGCGGACCGCACUCUUCGUUUCCCAAUAAGCAUAGUAUAUAGUCUUCUCAAGCACAGGAUCGAGUACAUGGGGGAUGAUAAAGAUUUGAAGGAGGGAAAAAAAGAUGGAUGAAAUUUGGAUCAACUACUGUGGCAUGCCGAUUUGUUUUGGAUUGAAAGAGUUUACCAUAGUGACGGGCUUGAGAUGCGAUCGCCUAGAAGAACUUUUUAUCAAGGAAACAUACCAUAAAGGGUCCAACAAACACAAGGGAAAAAAUAGGUUGUUGGGCAUUGUUGGACGUAGCUACAAAAUGGAUAAUUUGAUGGCAGAUCUCAAGGAUAAAAACAUACCAAAGCACUACAGGGAGAAAUUGUGCUUAGUUUGGUUUGUCCAUUCUAUUUUAUUAGCAAGAGACGUUAGGAAAGUCAUAGAAGAUGAUAUUUUGGUGCUUACUGAUGAUUUUGAGAAAUUUAACGAUUAUCCCUGGGGAUAUGACAGCUACUACUUCACUGUAGAAUAUUUACUAACAAAGCUAUCCCCAAAGACGAUCACAUUAUACGAAUUUCCUUGAGCUUUCAUGGUAAAAUUGAUCAGUAAUUUUACUCAUCCAUUAAUUUAUGUUGAAUAUAGUUAUUAUGACUUUUUUUUCUUGCUUCCUAUUUACAGUUUUUAGGCUUGGGCAUAUGAGACCAUUCCUCUCCUUUGAAAGCAGUUCAAGGUUUACUCGAAUAAGGUUUCUCAUCAAAGGAUCCUUAGGUGGUUGACUGCAAAUGGAAGUAAAAAUAUUAAGGAGGUUGAUCUCUUUAACCCUCCGGAUGCUGCAAUACGUCUUCUUUCAACUAAAAUAAUUUGCUUCAAAGAAAGAUAUUGAAAUAGAUGUGCCAUCUGUUGCAAUAGAUGGAUCAUCCAUUACAACAGAUUUUCCAUCAACUAUAAUUGGUGCAACAGAUGGGUAAUCUGUUGCGACAGACGAUCCAUAUUUCAUAAUAGAUUAACCAUCUAUUGCUCUGGUCCUCUGAACCUGAUUCAACAGAUUGCCCAUCUACUAUAAAUUAUGCAAUAAAUAGGUAAUAUGAUGCAACAGAUGGGUAAUCUAAUGCGGUAUAUCUUCUUUCAACUAAAAUAAUUUACAUCAAAUAAAGUUAUUGAAAUAGAUGUGCCAUCUGUUGUGAUAGAUAGGUCAACUGUAACUGGUGCAACAGAUAGGUAAUCUGUUGUGACAAACGAUCUAUAUUUCAUAAUAGAUUACCGAUUUAUUUAUCUGGUUCUCUGAACCUAACUCAAUAGAUUAACUAUCUACUACACAGAUGGGUAAUCUGAUGUAACAUAUUAUCAAUCUAUCACGAUAUACAGGUCAGUUGUUGUGGUAGCUAGAUCAUCUAUUUCAUAAGUUCGCUAUGUUAACAUGUAACCCAACUGACUAUAAAUUAUUAUUAUAUGAUUUAAAUGCCUCUUGUCUUUUUUUGUAGGUUGUGCAUCCUUAAAUCGUGCUUACUGUUCAUGAGUUAGGGAUGACUUUUUUUUUUACUCAAGGUCUUGUUGAUACAAAAGAACACUCAAUGGUGGAGUUAAUAAAGAAGAAAAUGGCUGGAGAAACAACCAUAAGAAGAGCAGUUAGGUAAGGUUAGCCUAAUAUUGAAGCUCUUCACGACCAACCUACUACAACAUAUCUGGGUGCUUCUUCUGAGGGUGUUGCUGAUGGAGUUGUUGAUGAUGGUGGCAGCUAUCCUUCUGCUGCUACUACCAGUCAUGAUUAUGAGCAUGUUGGUUCUUAGGAUAAAAUAAAUACGUUUGAAAACACCCCCUGCACAUUUCCUUCUCACCCCUACACCGGUCGCACCCACCCUUACAAUGGUCUCUCUUACCCCUCUUUACCCUCGUGUUCUCAUUAAAAAUACAAAGUGUGCAAGGACAGAGAUGAUAAACUCCUUUAAAAACUAGAGGCUAUUAUUGAAGUUGCCGAGGAGUUAAAAUCCAAGAGGGGUGUCAUACCAUACAAGAAGCUGAGGGAGCCAUACACUCCUACAAUGGCGGUUAGGAAGAAGACAAGAAACAUUAGAUAAAUACUCUCCAUUUUCCUCCCGCUCCAAGAGUUGUUGAAGUUCAGGGGCCGCUGGAGAAGGUGGACAUAUACACGACACUUGGCUACGAAAAGAAGAAGGAACUACAAGAAAUCAUGAAUGACAAGACAAAGGUUCCAGAAUAAUACACCAUGCAUUCAUUUGCCGCCAAAGACUUCACGAAUAUGACAAAGAUGCAUAAGUGGUACGUGGGCAAAGUAAGUUUACUUUUGCUAACCUAGAAUUCCUAUCUACUCCAUGAAGAAGAAGAUAUGCAAUAGAUGUGUAAUCUGUUACAAUAUAAUACACAUCUGUUGCAUAAGUUGCGUUAGCUGGGUAAUUUAUGAACUGAUUCAGAGAAUCCUCUACAACAGAAUCUUUCCACUAUAUUUUUAUUCUUUACAAUUACUAACCUAUUUAAAAAUUAUCUUCUUAUACCACAGUAUAUUAAUGAAAUUCUCUGCCUCAUGAGGGGCAGGCAAUUAGCAUACUCAGAUUCUUAUGAUGCUGCUGAUAGGAUAAUAUAUCUCAAUUUCUACAAUAAUUUCAAGGAUAGGUACUAUGAUCUCCACAGGCGAUCUGGUCCCGGUGGCCAUAGAUUUGAUAAGUUAGUUUCUACAUUCGAAUGGGAUGAAGACAUGAUUAAAUAUGUUAGAGUGAAGAGGCCAUAUCCACAUGGAAAGAGCUGGACCAAGGCAAAAAGAAUCCUUGCAGUUAUGAACGUGGAAGUCAAAUAUUUUCUCGCUAUUGAGAUACUACUCGACGAGGAAAAGAUUAAGGUUUAUGGAUGCAACUUACCUGUCUUCAACGAGGACACGUUUUUAACCUAUGUGCAGCCACUCUUGAAGUUGUUCCCCAAGUUGUUGACGUAGAGUAAGCUGAUAGAUCAUUUGUCGGCGGAAGUCUUAAUGAAGGAAUUAUGGGUUUUUGAAGGUCGAAAUAAGAACAUCUAACUCCCAAAAAAUAAAACUGGUGCAAUGUGCGGGUCAUACUCGCUUGCAUACAUCGAGUGUUUGCUGACCGACACAGAAAUGACCGAUAUGUGCAACGCCGUUGUGAGAAAGAUGCAAGAGGUAUGGGAUUAUGGGGUACUAACUAAAUGGUUGAAGAUCGUUUAUAAAGAAGAAUAUGUACAAGGAUAAAGACGUGCAUGAUAAUAAUUUUUUAUUUCAAGCCACUUCACUUUAUAUGUAGUGGCAAUAAUUUUUAUGUAUGGCAAAAGUUAAAUUCUUAUAAUGUAAUAGAUUGUCUAUCUGUUGUAACAGAUAUAAUACUUGUUGUGAUAGAUUGAUUAUCUAUUGGAAUAGGUUGGUCAUCUGUUGCAUUUUGCAGAUGUUUUUCGUCUAUAUGUUGCAAUAAAUAUACAAUCUGUUGCAACAUAUAAUCUAUCUGUUGUAACUGAUAGGUAAUCUGUUGGAAUAAAUUGAAAAAUAGGAAGGCCUAUUUAUAUAUUUCCAGCAGAUGACCUAACUAAAUGGUUGGAGCCUGUGUAUAAAGAAGAAUAUGUACAAAGACAGAGAUGUACACACUAAUCAUUUUUUAUUUCAAGCCACUUCACUUUACAUUAGUGGUAGUAAUUUUUAUGUAUGCCAAAAGUUAAAUUUUAAUAAUGCAAUUGAUUGUCUAUCUAUUGUAACAGAUAUAAUAUCUGUUAUGAUAGAUUAAUUAUCUGUUGGAAUAGGUUGGUCAUCUAUUGCAUUACGCAGAUGAUUCCUAGUAUAUCUGUCGCAACAGAUAUACAAUCUGUUGCAACAUAUAAUCUAUCUGUUGCAACUAAUAGGUAAUUUGUUGAAACAAAUCAAAAAAAUAGGAAGACCUGUUUAUAUAAUUUUCACCACAUGACCUACAUAUUGCAACAUAUGUCUUAAUCUGUUUGAUAAGAUAUGUCAUCUGUUGCAACAUAUGUAUUAUCUGUUGUGAUAUUUGAGUCUAGUAUUCUAUUUCAAUCAACAUGUUCAAAACUAAGGAUUAAAUUAUAUUCAUAGACAGUAUAAAAUAAAUCGAAGUCUUUGAAAAUUACAUGAAAUAGCUCAACAAAUAAAUGAAAUGUAAAAAAUAUAUUAUGGGUACAAAUGAUCUACUCUAUAAAUAAAUCAACAAGUUAAACUAAGGAGAAUAGGUUAUUACAUUGAUGGACUCAAGAUUUAAAGAUCUAAUCAAUAUGGACAAGUUGUUCUUCAUUCGGUGUUACGAAAUUCGGCUUUGAUCGUCGUGGAUCUUUAAUGUCGCUUGCGUAUGGCUUCUAAGCUUUUGCUUCUCUGUAUUUCUAUAAAAGAGUGGCAUAUCUUUUACAGAGUAAUCCGACAUCAAUUACAUCAUUUGGUACUUGUAAUACAUCGCUCAAAUACUCGACGUAAGUGGCAACAAAAGGACCACAACCCCUACAUUUAAAAAAAAACAAAUAAUCCAUAUCUUGUUGUUCAUGUAAACGUUGUGAAAUUUAUGAAAUGAAACUAAAUCAUGAUACUUAUACUUAUAAGCUACCAAUGGUUUGUUGAGCAAUUCCUUCAAAAUAUUGUACAUCAAAUGGAUUACUCAUUUUAUCCCGGUGUGCUUCAAUCGUCGAUCAAUCAGUAUGAACCUUUUGGUCCAAAAAGCCACUCAUAUCAAGGUAAGUAGGCAAUAUUUUGGCUAGAUUUUGUAUCUCAGAUGACGGCCCGGAACGUCUCCUUCGCGAUAUCGAGUCAUAAACUUGGAUGCACCUUUUUUUUAGAACGACGAUUGCCAACAUCGAAUGGAAUUCAUCACCACAAUCAAUUGGGAUGUACACUUCGUCGAUUGAAUGCCAAGGUAAGCCAGCUGGAAUGCUAAAACCUUUGAUGAUGUUGAUUAAGCUUUUCUUAUUUCUGAAAACUUUCGGCUGUUGUUGACAAUACCUAUUGUAGGAAUUAUUGAUGUAAACUUUGUUUAAACAAUUGGUUUUCAUGUAUCUGCAUUGUUCUGGUGUUUGCAACUUGGACUUCUUUCGGAGGUAGUAAAAAAUGACAUCGAUGUGCUACACAUAUUAUCAAAUAUUUUGAAUUACGUGAUGAAAAAAUUAAUACACAGAUGCAACUAAAUAAAGUAUUAAUUAAUAGUAAUAUGCAUGGCAAACCUCAUCAUUCUAGCAAGUUUGGGGCUGUGACAUCAAAUAGAAUCAAUUCUUCAUUCUAGGAUCUGCAACAACAAAGUCGAACAUAUCAAAACCAAGACUCGAUUCAUUCACUUUGUAGUGUUCGUCAUUUUGUUUUCUACAUGAUGAUUUAUAUGUGUUAAUGUCAUGUUCUUACAAUAAGAAUUGUAUAAAUCAAUAUCUUUAAAGUUGAUUUAUGUACCUACGGUCAUGAUGCUUUAACAGCCCAUCGGCAAUCCAUUCUGAAUAGUCAUUGAUCAACUUUGUUAGUUUUUUUGAAGCCUCGUCUGAGGUAUUUAACCCUUCAAAUGGGUAAUUCUUUCGUUCUUCCGAACUGAUAGGAUCCAUAUUUUCUUCUUCUUUCAAAAUAGUUGAUGGAUUAUCAACUGUGAUAUUAUGCUCUUCAGCAGUAGAUUCUGCUGUGACAUCCACCUAAAAAGCCAGAAUUGUUAAUGAUAAUAACAUAUAUGCAACAGAUUUUUCAUCUGUUGUAAUAGAUGAGUCUUAUAUUACAACAGAUGGAUCAUCUGUUGAAACAAAUUUGAACAAGUAAAAUAGAGCAGUACGAUAAUUUUGGUGCAAGACAAAGAUAGAGGCAUUGCAAUUUUGCUUUUUUCGAUGCUUGGUACUGCCUUAGAAAUAUCUUUCCUUCUCCUCUUAGCCACCUUGAUCUCUAGUGGAGUGUAUGGAUAUGAAGUCCUCUUUGAUAGAAUGACACCUCUCUUAGAUGUCAUUUCCUUUAUAGAAAUAGUUAGUGCAUUAAUAGCAUUAAUCACUCCAUCUUGUUUUGCCUUGUAGUUAAAGGCCUGAAAACAUGCCCAACAAUAUUUAAUAAACAUCUGCAACAUUCUGCAAAAUCUCUACUGACAUACUAUCUGAAUAACUGGGACAAGGCCCCCAGCAGACCAAAAACCAUACUGAAAUAAAUACCUAAAUGACUAGGCCUUCCGAAGCAAAGAAGGCUCACCAACUGAACUCUGAGACAACCCUGUCUGUAGACUCUACUGAGGAUUGGGACACCUAGACUGCGCCUCAGUACCUGGGAAGAAGUGGGGGGUCAGCACAAUUGUACUGGCACGCGAAGCAAUCCAAAAUAGAGUAAUUGAACAUAUAUAUAUAUAUAUAUAAUACGUGAGAGCAAAUAUUCAUCAAAUAUUAUGCAUAAAAAAGUUUCUGAAAAACACAUGGGAACCUUCUAAAAACAUGUAACCUGUCUGUAAAUCUCAAAUUUUGAUUUGUGUAUUACUUCUAAGUUAGGUGGUAUCCCCUACAAGUCUGAUAUUCCACGGGCGAUAUGGAAUCCGCCAUUGACUCGGCGGAGAAGCCUCCAACCCGAGUAUGCCGCAAGGGUUGGAGUUCCUGAAUCUGAUACGCCAUACGACACUUAAGUCAGCGUAUAAUAAUAUACCCGAGUCGGAAAACCACGAUUUUAGGCAAUGAGUUGCUUGAACUCAAGCCCUCUUUAGGGAACCACCUAAUAUCUCUGUAUGACCAUUUUUAACCUUUUCUGUACAUGCAACAUUCUGAAUAUCUAAAAUCAUGAUAGUCUGAAUGUCUAUUAGUCUGAGUUUGAUAUGACAUUGGUUUGAAUUGGUAUCUUCAUACAAAGACUUGCAAUUCAUGAUUUUUGAUCCAUAAUACAUUAAGCUAAAUCUUUCAUUUAAAGCAUAAUUUAGACUACCAAAAACAUGCAACUNNNNNNNNNNNNNNNNNNNNNNNNNNNNNNNNNNNNNNNNNNNNNNNNNNNNNNNNNNNNNNNNNNNNNNNNNNNNNNNNNNNNNNNNNNNNNNNNNNNNNNNNNNNNNNNNNNNNNNNNNNNNNNNNNNNNNNNNNNNNNNNNNNNNNNNNNNNNNNNNNNNNNNNNNNNNNNNNNNNNNNNNNNNNNNNNNNNNNNNNNNNNNNNNNNNNNNNNNNNNNNNNNNNNNNNNNNNNNNNNNNNNNNNNNNNNNNNNNNNNNNNNNNNNNNNNNNNNNNNNNNNNNNNNNNNNNNNNNNNNNNNNNNNNNNNGGAUGCAUUGCAAAACAAUUCAUAUGCUAUGAGAAAUCUGAAAAAUUCAUAAUAAGAGGGAAUUCACCAAAAAUCAUGCUCUCAACAAGAAUUCAUUCUUAAAUACAUGGUUUCAUACAUUCAUAUUCUCAAAUCACUUUGGGGAAGGUCAAAAGACCAAAACAAUGAUGUUAAAACAUUUAAUACAUGAAUAUAUACAUAGAUUCAAAACCCCCAUUCUAAAACGUGAUUUUUAUAUGCCCAUGAGAAUUUAGAAAACCCCCGCGUACCUCUAUUUCAAAAAAUAAUGGGUGCUUCUUGAAGCCUGUGGAUUGGGGAUUCCAAAUCUCUAAUCAAUUUUGAAAACCCACGAUUAAAUCUUGAUUUAUUUGGAUUUUUAGUUUGAAACCCUUGGGAGUGUUCUUGAGAAUUUNNNNNNNNNNNNNNNNNNNNNNNNNNNNNNNNNNNNNNNNNNNNNNNNNNNNNNNNNNNNNNNNNNNNNNNNNNNNNNNNNNNNNNNNNNNNNNNNNNNNNNNNNNNNNNNNNNAAAACGGAGUGUUUAAGUCACUUGAAACCAUAAGAUAUGCGCCGCAUAUGAUAUCGCAUAUAUUUACAUAGACGUCGCAUAUGAUAUCGCCUAUAUUUACAUAGGCGCCGCAUAUGCUAUCGCCUAUAUUUACAUAGGUGCCGCAUAUGCUAUCGCAUAUGCUUUCCAGUGGCCAUGUAUGAUUGGUCAGGCAACACAUUCUACUUUGAAAGGCCAUAACUUCUUGCUCGGGUGCCGAAUUUUAGCAAAAUUGGUAUCUUUGGAAAGUUAACUCGAAGACCUAUCAUUUAACACAUAAUAGGAUCUAUGUUCGACAUAUACAGAGAGUUAUGGCCGAUGGAAGCUGACACAAAUUACAACGUCCACUAAAAUUUCAUCGAUCGAAAUAGUUUUAACUUGUCCUUGAGUUGAAGGACCUCUAUGGUCUAACUUCAUGCUCAAAUAGAUUCACAUACUACAUAAUUGAUUAACAUGCCAAAUUGGCAUAGGAUUUAAGGCUUUGGGAUUAUCAACGCGUUAGAUUUAUGUUUUUAUUCUAGCCUGAAAUGCAGGGCAGGGUGUUACAUUAUCUCUCCCUUGGGAUCAUUCAUUCUCAAAUAAUGGAUAGAAUGUUGAAUUCUUAAGGGUAUGGGAUAACGCGGAUAUGAUAUGUUCCCUAAGAAAGAAUACACUGAUCGGAAACAUGACUAUAAGAUUGGAACUACUGAUGUUUUAAAUGCUUAUGCCGGACAUGCAUAUCUGAGGCAUGGAAUACACAACUGAAGCUACUCAUAGGCUGAAUUCNNNNNNNNNNNNNNNNNNNNNNNNNNNNNNNNNNNNNNNNNNNNNNNNNNNNNNNNNNNNNNNNNNNNNNNNNNNNNNNNNNNNNNNNNNNNNNNNNNNNNNNNNNNNNNNNNNNNNNNNNNNNNNNNNNNNNNNNNNNNNNNNNNNNNNNNNNNNNNNNNNNNNNNNNNNNNNNNNNNNNNNNNNNNNNNNNNNNNNNNNNNNNNNNNNNNNNNNNNNNNNNNNNNNNNNNNNNNNNNNNNNNNNNNNNNNNNNNNNNNNNNNNNNNNNNNNNNNNNNNNNNNNAGGGCACCUACGAAUUGAAUCAUAACUGAACAUCUGAAAUUUGAAUUUAAUGCAUGAUGCAUGAAUUGGGCUAUACUUGUAACUAAUGGUAUACUAUUUCUUGGAAUAUUAGCAUGUCUGAGAUUUCGAGUAGCAUGAACAAGUGUAAAAAUUAGAAAACAAGUCAUGUGAAUCUAACUGCUAAACUGACUUAUUGUCCAUAUAGACUGAAUUAUACUACACCCUCAUACUUAACUGGAGUAUCUCUUUAUCACAAUUCUCUAAAGAAAUUCUAGCAGUAAUAGUGAGCCAUGAAUCUUGGGUAUGGAUUACUCAUGACAUCCAACUGAGGAAUCACCACAUUGACACUACUCUGUAGUCUGGAACAUAGGCAUAUAACUCCUGAAUUAGGAUAGAAUUACCAGGCCUUUGGCAUUACAACUUCUUACUUUCAAGCUUAGUACACUUCUCGAAUAUCACUUAACUAUACUAUUCUCCUUAAAUAUCAUAUUCAUUCAACUCAGCUUAAAAUUCUCAUAUGAGCAUUGACAAAUCUUUCUACUAAUGUAGGAAAUAACUUAAUUCCUUUGCCGUGAUCAAGCCUAACUCUAAGUCACAAAAAUACAACAUGCCAGACCACGCUAUUAUUCUAAACCAUAUGAUGCAAUCUUCUAUAUCUCCUUUAAAUAUCACAUUCUAAGUAUAACAUGCCUUACCACUUCAAUGACUACUCUGAACUCUUACUAUGAAGUUGCUAGCGCAUAUAGCAUUCCUUUACAACAAUCUCAACAUGUAAUUUAAGCCUAUCUUUAUAACCACAUAUGAACUUUAAAGCAAACACUCAUAAAGGCAUACUUCAUAUAUUCUCUAAACCACUAUCAAUAUCACUCCCACGAGCAACCCCAAGAACAUACACAUACAAAAUUCCACUAACCAUCACAUAAAUAAAUACUUGGCCCCAAAUCUUACUUCAUACUUAUGGCCUUAUCUAACAAGCGUACUAUGAUCUUUCAUUAACAAGGAAUAAUUACUCACCACCACUAUCAUCGCAUAAGGAGGAGUCACAAAAAGGUUAGAACAUAAGAUCUGGAGGCAUGAAAUGAUACUAUAUAAAGAUUGACACUCAUUUGAGGCCUGAGGAGUAGCAAAACAACAACAUGGACUCACCAAAGCCCUUUGAAUUUAGGGUAUUCAUGGCUAUAAGCUGAAUCUCGCUAAUCAUUUGGCGUAAAACAUGAGUUAUGGAAACAGAGCACAUUAUAAAGCGUGAGUACAUGACUCUUUAUCAUAUGUAUGAAUGUGAACUGAUCAUGGAACUAAAUUGUAAAGCAUGAGUAGGUAUUAGGAUCACUGAGAAAUACUGAGAUAGGAAUGGGUUGAGAUUCACCCUUACUUUUUGAUGUUCUAUAUCAUCAUGACUUCACUAUAAGAAUUUGAGAUUCUUACUUGGUUAUUCGUUUAGUCAUCUCCCCCUUAGCUUCAAGCCACCAUCUUAAGUUUUUGGGAGAUACCUUACUAGACUUUAAACUUAACUGCAGUCACUGCACUCUGGGUUCUGAAAUAUGACAAUACACAAAAUUAAUAAAACUUAACCCGAAAGACCACAUAUGAGAGUGGAACGCCUACUACUAAUACUACCUCCUGAGGCACACUAUAUCAUUCUGUAACCUCAAUAGUCAUUAUCUAUUACUCGAACACUUACUAACUUCGAAUCUUCAUGAGUAUCCCCAAAGUUGAAGUGCACACCCUCUAGUGCCUCUACUCUUAUUUCUAUUAGCACGACUUUUAAGGACUCGAUCUUAGAUUAUAACACCUAACAUGGGUAUCACCAAGUCUUCAAUUAGCCACUCUAUUUCUAUCGUAGUCUACCAACAUANNNNNNNNNNNNNNNNNNNNNNNNNNNNNNNNNNNNNNNNNNNNNNNNNNNNNNNNNNNNNNNNNNNNNNNNNNNNNNNNNNNNNNNNNNNNNNNNNNNNNNNNNNNNNNNNNNNNNNNNNNNNNNNNNNNNNNNNNNNNNNNNNNNNNNNNNNNNNNNNNNNNNNNNNNNNNNNNNNNNNNNNNNNNNNNNNNNNNNNNNNNNNNNNNNNNNNNNNNNNNNNNNNNNNNNNNNNNNNNNNNNNNNNNNNNNNNNNNNNNNNNNNNNNNNNNNNNNNNNNNNNNNNNNNNNNNNNNNNNNNNNNNNNNNNNNNNNNNNNNNNNNNNNNNNNNNNNNNNNNNNNNNNNNNNNNNNNNNNNNNNNNNNNNNNNNNNNNNNNNNNNNNNNNNNNNNNNNNNNNNNACAACCAACCUUACACACAAUCCUUACUUAGAAACUAUGAAAUAAACAUCAAGAAACACUAGUACACUAGAAAUUCAUAACCACAAUAAUCAAUCAUGACCUUACGGUUUUCCUUGUCAUAAUCUAUUAGCACGUACUAUUUUAACACAUCAAGCUUAUAAAUCUAAUCCCACGAAACAUGUAUCAUCAAUCUCUUGCCACUAUUCACCACCACGCCAUUUAAAUUCAAGCCUAUAGUCUAGCAUCAAUCAUUUACAACCAAUGAAGAGUGCAACAUAAUAUAAAUAUACUAAUCCUUCAAAUUGGGAUAUUCAACCCAAAUACUUCAAAAAUAUACUACAUACUUUCUCACAAGUAGUAUUAGUUUACAAUUACCAAUGAGAAGAAGGUUAAGGGGUAAGGUCACAUAAUAGACAUAAUCAACCUUAAGCUUAUAUUAUAACCAUACAAUCUUAUCUACUUAUACAGCUUUCUCACAUCACACUUACCCCAAUGGGCAUUUAGACUACCUUCAGAUACCCCAUAUGGCAAUGAGUCUAUACUUACAACCUACUGGCUAAUCUAGUCAUUUUCAUUCAUAGCCUAUAAGGGGUUUUUAUAACUACCUAAGUAUCUACUCUGGGCUCUUUCUCUAUUUUGAAAGGAAGAAAACAAAUAACAUUCUGAGUCAACACUUCCUCCACGGACUACCAUACAAUUCAUAACAUUUUGAGUCAACACUUCCUCCACGGACUACCAUACAAUUCAUAAAUGGUACCACCACAUUAGUCUACCACUAAGAAAGGGUAAAUCAUUCUCAAUCAACGGUUAUUCAACUAUAAAUAUUUAAUCACAAAAGUCACCCUCACUUUGACCUCUAACCUUAUGACUUCAUAUCAUAAACUUCUUGGUCUAAUUUCACUACCAAUAGGUCAUGACACCAACACUCUAACUUAUACUACUACUCGGGUGGAAAUACAGUUCCAACAAACACAAGAACAACAAGAUGAACAACAAGUUGCUAGUGAAUCGAAAUAGGCCUCACAUGGAUUCACUAGACUUUUAUUUUCAACAACACAAUGAUAUCAAGAUUAAAAGAGAUAGAAGCUUGAUACACAAUAUUCAAUGACUCAAGAAUACACAUCUUACUCUUGUCUUAACUGAACGCCUCAUAAGAACAAGGACAUAAUUUUACACUAAGGAACUCCUCUCCCGUCCUUUGUGGGACUUCUGAAAUUUCUGCUAGAUAAUCGAAGAAUAUUUGGAAACACCAGAGUGAGGAAGAAAUUAGGAUAACUUUUCUUUUUGUAUGGGUGACACCAUAGCACGAAUUAGAGUAUGAAGAAGAAACAUUCUGACUCUAUAACACUAACUAGAACAUGAAGAAACAGAGACAUUCCUAAAUACCUUGUAGCCUCCUGUUUAUAAGUGUGGCGCGCUACACAACCAUAAAUAAGACUCUACCUGACGUGAUUUUCCAGACACCCUAGGACCAUGAACCGUGCUUUGAUAACAAGUUUUUCACGACCCAAACUGGGGCCUUGAUGGUGACGAGCAUUCCCAAACCCGAAGGCCUGCAAUGCCCUCUAUCUAUCUGGUAAUCAUGUACAUAAUUCAUAUGAUCAAAGUAAUACGGAAUAGACACAAUAAUACAGAAACAUGGUCAACAAUUUAAAAUAGUUAAGGACCUGAAAACAUGCCCAAUAAUAUUUAAUAAACAUCUGCAAUAGUCUUCGAAAUCUCUACUGACGUACUAUCUGAAUAAUUGGGAUAAGGCCCCCAGCAGACCAAAAACCAUACUGAAAUAAAUACCUAAAUGACUAGGCCUUCCGAAGCAAAGAAGGCUCACCAACUGAACUCUGAGACAACCCUGUCUGUAGACUCUACCGAGGAUCUGGACCCUUAGCUUGCGCCUUAGUACCUAGGAGGAAAUGGGGGGCAGCACAAUUGUACUGGCACACGAAGCAAUCCAAAAUAGAGUAAUUGAACAUAUAUAUAUAUAUAUAUAUAAUAUGUGAGAGAAAAUGUUCAUCAAACAUUAUGCAUAAAACAGUAAAACAGUUUUUGAAAAAACACAUGGGCACCUUUUGAAAACAUGUAACCUAUCUGUAAAUCUCACACUCUGAUCUGUGUAUUACUUCUGAGUUAGGUGCUAUCCCCUACGGGCGAUAUAGAAUCCGCCAUUGACUUGGCCGGGAAGCCUCCAACCCGAGUAUGCCACAAGGGUUGGAGUUCGUAAAUCAAAUACGCCACAAAACACUUAAGUCAGCGUAUAAUAAUAUCCCCGAGUCGGACAACCACGAUUUUAGGCAAUGAGUUGCUUGAACUCAAGCCCUCUUUAGGGAACCACCUAAUAUCUCUGUAUGACCAUUUUUAACCUUUUCUGUACAUGCAACAUUCUGAAUAUCUAAAAUCAUGAUAGUCUGAAUGUCUAUUAGUCUGAGUUUGAUAUGACAUUGGUUUGAAUUGGUAUCUUCAUACAAAGACUUGCAAUUCAUGAUUUUUGAUCCAUAAUACAUUAAGCUAAAUCUUUCAUUUAAAGCAUAAUUUAGACUACCAAAAACAUGCAACUAAUAUAGAAGAUUUCGUGUUUCAAAACUCAAGUCAAAAUCAUGCAAAAACUUCAUCAACAUAUAGUGGUCUAGUGCCUUUAGCAAAUCCAUGCACUCUUUCAUUACAUGCAUUAUGAACAUUAAACAUUUAUGCUAGAUUCCCUCUUUAGUGAUUUAAAACCACCUUAAAAUCAUAACAAGAGUUCAAUAAUUUCAUAUAGUUUUUUUCAGGGAUGCCUUGCAAAACAAUUCAUAUGCUAUGAGAAAUCUGAAAAAUUCACUAAAGAGGAAAUUCACCAAAAAUCAUGCUCUCAACAAGAAUUCAUUCUUAAAUACAACGUUUCAUAAAUUCAUAUUCUCAAAUCACUUUGGAGAAGGUCAAAAGACCAAAACAAUGAUGUUAAAACAUUUAAUACAUGAAUAUAUACAUAGAUUCAAAAACCCCAUUCUAAAACAUGAUUUUCUAUGCCCAUGAGAAUUUAGAAAAAUCCCGCGUACCUCUAUUUCAGAAAAUAAUGGGUGCUUCUUAAAGCCUGUGGAUUGGGGAUUCCAAAUCUCUAAUCAAUUUUGAAAACCCACGGUUAAAUCUUGAUUUAUUUGGGUUUUUAGUUUGAAAACCUUGGGAGUGUUUUUGAGAAUUGGAAAAGGACCAUUUUUCCCCCAAAAAUGGAGUGUUUAAGUCAGUUGAAACCAUAAGAUAUGCGCCGCAUAUGAUAUCGCAUAUAUUUACAUAGGCGCCGCAUAUGAUAUUGCCUAUAUUUACAUAGGCGUCGCAUAUGCUAUCGCCUAUAUUUACAUAGGCGCCGCAUAUGUUAUCACAUAUGCUUUCCAAUGGCCAUGUGCGAUUGGUCAGACAAUGCAUUCUACUUUGAAAGGCCAUAACUUCUUGCUCGGGUGUUAGAUUUUAGCAAAAUUGGUAUCGUUGGAAAGUUAACUCGAAGACCUAUUAUUUGACACAUAGUAGAAUCUCUAAUUCAAUAUAUACAGAGAGUUAUGGUCGAUGGAAGCUGACACAAAUUAUAACUUCCACUAAAACUUAAUCGAUCGAAAUAGUUUCAACUCGUCCUUAAGUUGAAGAACCUCUAUGGUCUAAAUUCAUGCUCAAAUGGAUUCACAUAAUACAUGAUUGAUUAAUAUGCCAAAUUGGCAUAUGAUUUAAGGCUCUGGGAUUAUCAACGCGUCAGAGUCAUGAUUUUUAUUCUAGCCCAAAAUGCGGGGUGUUACAAGCUUGGACCAUAAUAUAAACCAGUUCAUCACGAUCACUCGACUUACCUUUGCUUUUUUUGGGCGUGCAAGAUGUUUUUUUGGGGUCAGAGUAGGUAUAACUUGAGAAGGAGAAGGAAGAUAACAUUUUAGUCCAGUAACUAUGGCAAACUCCUUCCAAUUAAAACAAACAGGCAUGCCACAGUAAUUUAUCCACACCUCAUCCAUCUUAUGCACCAGGUAGUUUAUCUGAUGCAACAUAUAACCAACCUGUUGAAACUGAUGAGUAAACCAUUAGAAAUCAUAAAAAUAGAUCACUAAUCUGUUGCACUAGGUAGUUUAUCUGUUUCAACAUAUAACCAACCUAUUGCAAUGGAUGAUUACUCCGUUGGAAAUAAUAAAAAUAGAUCACUCAUCUGUUGCACCAGGAUGUUAUCUGUUGCAACUUAUAACCAACCUGUUGCAACGGAUGAGUAAUCCAUUGAAAAUAGUAAAAAUAGAUCACUAAUCUAUUGCACUUGGUAGUUUAUAUAAUGCAAUAUAUAACCAAUCUGUUGUAAGACAUGAGUAAAAAUAGAUCACUAAUCUGUUGCACCAGGUAGUUUAUCUGUUGCAACAUAUAACCAACCUAUUAUAACGAAUGAGUAAUCUAUUGGAAAUAGUAAAAUUGGUCACUGAUCUGUUGCACUUGAAAGGUUAUCUGUUGCAACAUAGAACAAACCUAUUGCAAUGGAUGAGUAAUUCAUUGAAAAUAGUAAAAUAAAUCACUGAUCUAUUGCACCUAGCACGUUAUCUGUUGCAACAUAUAACCAAUCUGUUGCAAUGGAUGAGUAAUUUGUUGGAAAUAAUAAAAUAGAUCACUAAUCUAUUGAAACAUAUCACUCAUCUAUUGUAAAAUGAGUUAUCUGUUGGAUCAAUAUUAUUUAGAUUUCUUCCAAACAGAAGAGUCGUCUAUCACAACAAAUGAAUGAUUUGUUAGAUUAUUCAUAUGUUACAUCAGCUUUUCAUAGUUGCAUCAGAUUUACAUCUGUUGCAACAAAUGUUUUCAUCUAUCGGAUAAGAUGUUUCAUCUGUUUCAUCAGAUGUUGCAUCUCUUGCAACACCAUUUUUACCAAGACAAACAACAAAUUAACCCAGUAACACCAACACAUCACACAUAUACACUAAUAACAUCAACGAUGAUAAAAAAUUAACAACAAAUUUGAAUCAAUAGUUCGACAACAAGAAGAAGAAAAACCAGAAAUUAGGAUUUUAUUUAGUCCAUAUUUCAAAUUUAAGCAAGAAAUAUUGAAAUUGUUAACCAAUACUAGAAGAUUAGUUGACUCAAGUUCCUCUGUUUCUUCAUAAUUUUUCACCUGUGAAAAAAGAAAUAGGACGGCGAAGAACUCGAAGUUGUUAUUGCCGGAGAAGUCUUCACGUCGAUUGACGAUUGAAAGUCAAAAAGAAAGUCGCCCGACUAUUUAUCGUCGGAGGUUGAAGUCGUCGGGGAUUGAAUGGAGAAAUUUUGCAGAACAGUUGGUUGUGAGAGAGUUGAGAGAAGUUAUUGAGAGAGAGGGGAGAGAGACGGUUGAUUUGGAUUGAAGAGGGGUAUGGGCUGGGUUAAUUUGUAUUUUUUAAAAGAUUAGAAAGUUUUGAAAAUAUUAAUCAAGUCCACAAUUAACUUAAUCAAUUUUCAUGAUGAUGUUUGACCCUUUAAGUUGGUCAAUGUAACCAAUUCUUCAUUCAAGACUUAAAGGACACCUUUCCUUUAAUUUUCUCAUGUAAAAUGAGUGUUUGUUUCUUCAACUUUUUGCUCAUUUUGAUUCUCCUCCUAAGCCUUUGUUUACUUAUGGGCUCAGAAUAAACAGUGGUUUCUGUUUUUGAUUGCCAUGUUUAUUUUUAGUUGUCACAUUUUAUUUUUCAAUACUCAAACUGCAUGAGUUUUGACCAACAUCUAAAAAUAUAUUUUUUUGUCAUAUUAACAUGAGACAGCUUGCGACUUAUCUCAUUUUUAGUUUUCAAAUAUCUAAAUUUUAAAUUUAAAAUAGUAAAUUAACCCACUUCAGUUUAGCUUUGAAGUUUAAUCAAAUUGAUUUUCUUAAAGUGAAAUGUGACGAAUAAAAAUGAACGGAAGGAGUACUUGAUAGAGUUUAUUCUACUGAUAGACCCAAUUUUGAUAUAUUUUUGAUAAUGAUCAGACAAUAUGCAAGGUCAACUACGAUUCUAUUUUCCAGAAUCAUAUACAUUAAGGAGUCAUUCAGUAGAAUGUAUAAGAACAGUAUCAAAUAUGGUGGGAUAAAUUUCAUCCAUGGUCACUUAACUUUAUAUCUAUUAUCCAAAAAUUACUUUUCUUUCAUUCAUUUCAUCCAUGGUCACUUAACUUUGUAUCUAUUACUCAAAAGUCACUUUUCUUUCAUUCAUUGCAUCCAUGGUCAUUUAACUUUACUCCGAUCAUCACAAAAGUUACUAUGAUCGGAUUUUACAAUAAUUUCAUCGAAAAAAUGAUGUGACAACCUUAAUUAGUUCUUAAUUUUUAAUUUAAGUGAAUAUAUAAUAUAUUACUCAUAUCUUGACCCUUUUUAUAUAUGCAUAACCCAAUUUUCUUUAUUGAUUAUUUAAGAAAAAAAAAUACAUAAAGUUGCAUACUUAAGUAUUAAAUUACAAAAAAUAGCACACUUUUAUCAAAUUACAUUUUGUAGCAUAUGUAUUUAUAUGUAUUUGUAUUUUUGUAGCAACAGUUUGCAAAAAUACAAAAUACAUAUCGAUCAUAAGGGCAGUAAAAUCAUAUGUAUUUGUAUUUUUGUAGCAACAGUUUGCAAAAAUACAAAAUACAACUUGCUAUAGUAUGUAAUUAUGAAACCGUUGCUAUGAGACUCAUAAUUAAGGGGAUAAGUAUGCUAUUUAUGAAUUUUCCACAUCAUUUAAUGAAAGAAUACCAAUUUCUUCAAGAUUAGAUUAUCUAAUGAAGACUAUUUUCAUAAAAAAAAUCUGGUUGAUAUUUUUAUGAAAUAAAAUUAUACUUAUAUAUUCUUAAAAUCCUGUAAAGUUGAUACAUGUGUUGGUAAAUUAUUUUUUCCACUAAUAUAUUAUGGCAUGUAAUUGAUAAAAUUAUUUUUCUCCCUCUAAAAUUGUGACAUAUAGUUGAUAAAAAUAUUUUUUUCAUACAUUUUUUUUCUGGCCACUUGAGUCUUUGCAUUCGGUAUAUCAUAAUAAUAUGAUAAACUACUCUAUUUAUUGAGUUUGUUUUUGUAUUUUAAUUGUUUGACUAAUCGAUUAAUUCUCUUAAAAGUUUUUCUUAUAAUAUUUAAUUUAUGAUAAAUUACAUAUUCUUUAAUUAAUUUAAUUGAUAAAUAUAAAAAUUAGAUAUCCUAUAAUUUCUUUAUCUAUUAAAGUACUUUUAUUUUAUAACUUUUAUUAACAAAACUGUACGUUAAUAUAAUAUUAUUUGUGGAAAUUUUGACAAUAUUUAUUCAAUGACACAAUUAAAAAGAUUUUAUUUUAAAACUAUCUUUAGCAUGUUGAUUUAUCUUCAAAGAAUUAAAGUAAUUUUUUUUAAAAAAUAAUAUCAUACAGGUAUUUCUAUUUUAUGUGUUUUGAAGAAUUAACCUUAUUUAUCACUCUUUUUCGAUGCACCUUUUUGGCAUAUGAAUGCAAUAUUAUGAAAUGUUUCCUAAAAAUAUCAACCAAAUUUUUUUAUGUAAAUAAUCUUCAUUAGGUAAUCUAAUCUAUUAAGAAAUUGGUAUUCUUUCAUUAAAUAAUCCAUAAGGAAAAUUGGGUUGUGCACAUAUAAAAAAGUCAAGAUUUGAGUAAUAUAUUAUAUAUAUUCACUUAAAUUAAAAUUAAGAACUAAUUAAGAUUGCCACAUCAUUUUUCUGAUGGAAUUAUUGUAAAAUCCGGUCAUAGUGACUUUUGUGAUGAUCGGAGUAAAGUUAAAUGACCAUGGAUGAAAUGAAUGAAAGAAAAAUGACUUUUGUGUAGUAGAUACAAAGUUAAGUGACCAUAGAUAAAAUGAAUGAAAGAAAAAUGAAUUUUAUAUAGUGGAUGAAAUUUACCCAAAUAUGGUGUAUUCGUAAUGUGCAUUAUUUCCUAUUUAUCCAGAAACAUAAAUGAAUACAUACAAAACACAGCAUUUAAGGAGAGUUGCAGCAGGGAAAUGUAGGUCCAUGUGAAAUCAAUUGGACAAAAUUGACAUUUAGAAGAAGUGGCUUGACUUUUUUGCCAUUUGAAAAUUUAUGGCCAAGCUUUAAGCUUAAAGCAUAAGUAAGCAAUGCAAGGAUUUUUUUAAAUGACUAUAAUAGCCUUGAUUGUCCUACUAUUAAGUACUGUAAUAAAUAAUUUGCAAAGGUUGGUUGGGAGUUGAGAUGAAAAAACUGAUAACAAUAACACAUGCAAAUUAAUGCAAAAGUUUUCAAGCCAGCAUAGUUGUUGGAACAUUGAUACAUCUAAAUAUUACUGACCUCACAAAUCAUUUUCCCCUGUACUUUCUUGUGAUCAUGUAUACUACUUUUGUCCCAAAAAAAAACUGACUUUAAAAAUUUGUAGUUGUGGCUUAGUAAACAAUGUGGAACUCCUUAUCAAUAACAGCUGAAAAUGGAGCUAGCAAAGAUGAAGAAGAUCUUUUGUUGGCUGCUUUGCAGAGAUCUCAUACUAAUAUUCGAGCCCGGACAUCGAUCUUUCGAGGGAUUGGUGGAGAGGUUUCUUUGGUUGAUGUUGGUAAAAUGAAAGGUGAAGAGCAAAAGGAAGUUUUGGAUGUGUUGAUUAAUGCUAUUAAUGAAGAUACUGAGUUGUUCUUCAGAAGAGUUAAGGAGAGAUUUGAGAGGUAAGUUUCUUUUGUCUUUUAUUUGCCACAUAGCUUUAGUUGUUAUUUGUGCAUUUUGUGCUUGGUAGGUGGUACUAAUUUGUCUGGAGUUUUCCAUUUGCAUAAAGAAAAUUCACUUGCUUGACAAUAAUGUUUGUAGUUUGGUACUGUUGACAUUGAAGUUGUACUACUUCUUAUCCUUCGUUACCAAGAAAUAAGAUAAAAGGGCAGCCCGGUGCACUAAAGCUCCCGCUAUACGCAGGGUCCGGGGAUGGCCCCACCACAAGGGUGUAUUGUAUUCAGCCGUACCUUACAUUUCUGCCAGAGUCUCUUUCCAAGACUUGAACCUACGACCUCCUAGUCACAUGGCAGCAAGUUUACCAAGAAAUAAGAUAAUAGAACAAUAAUGAUAAUGAAGGAAAGAAAAUGUCAGCUUACAUAAACGGACAUUGUCGUAGAAUUUUCACACUACCAGUGUAUUUUGACUGCCUUAUUUUCUGGUUUACUGACCCUUUCUAUAGCUAUAGUUAUCUUUUACUUGAACUGAUAGUUAUAGUCAGUGUAGCUAAACUCGAAAAGGAAAGACCAACCUGCGCUCCACUUUCCGCACAAUGCCUGAUUUUAGUCCUCAUGUUACUUAAUGCUGAUAACUAACAUCAUGCUAUAUCAUGUAAAGAAGGCAAGAAAUUUACUUUGUUGUUCGAAUUCGAUUCUCGAUGGUAAACAGGAUGAGUUUCUGAAAUUGAAAGAGCUAUGUGGCGUGUUAAGAGUCUUAGCCUUUAUAGUUGUGAAUGAUUCAAAUUCCAAUUAGUUGCCGAUCUUUAGUUAUGGUUAAUCAUUGGAAUUUGAACUUCUAGUUCAAAGUUGAAAAAAAUGGAGAAUUACCAUAAGUAGAGGAUCAACAUUGAAAUCUGUAUAUCAUUUAGGAUCAUUUUAAAUUUGGAUCUAUUGGUUGAAGAAAGAUAUGUGAUCUGUUGGAGUCCACAUCGAUGGGUUAAAGGGUCCUUGGUCUCCUUAUAUGGUCUUGGGCAAUCCUUCCCUCAUGAGCUAUUUUUUGAGGUUGAGUUAGGCCCAAGGUCUAUUUCUUUAUCACGGUAUCAGAGACAGGCCCACCCAGUUCAUUGUUUCCGAUGUUGGGCCCCCCAUCUUAUAUUGUCCACUCUCUAGAUGUCCAGCCCUGGGCGUGCGAGGGGGUGUUGGAGUCCCACAUCGGUGGGCUAAAGGGUCCUUGGUCUCCUUAUAUGGUCUUAGGCAAUCUCUUGGGCAAUCCUCCCCUCAUGAGCUAGCUUUUGAGGUUGAGUUAGGCCCAAGGUCCAUUUCUUUAUCAUGAUCUUAUAGAAAGACAUUUUUCAUCUUCAACUUGAAUUUUUAGAAUGAUGUUUGACAUGCUUAUUAUCAUGACAAAUUAUGAGCUGUAAGAAUAUUAGUUUGAAUUGUAUAUUAUCAUUCAUAGCGAUAACAAUUUUCAGGCUAUUUAAUCAACUUGUAAUGUGUAUCAUCCAUAUGAUCUUCAACAUCAUUCAUUGUAUUGGUUAUAUUAAGCAUAUCGAACUAAUCUAACUUUCAGGGUGAAUUUGGAAUUCCCCAAAGUUAAGGUUUGCUUUCAGCAUCUUAAAGUUGAUGCAAUGGUCCAUGUAGGAAGCAGAGCAUUGCCUACAAUUCCCAACUUUGUAUUCAACAUGACUGAGGUAAACCUGCAGAUCUCAUGUAUCUGCUAAAUUACGAUUUCACUGUGCUUAGUCUGACAAUGUUUCAUGAGACAGACUUACUUGAGACGGUUGAGGAUUUUUCCAAGUCGGAGAAAGAAAUUAUCUAUCCUAAACAACAUAAGUGGUGUUAUACGGCCAUCAAGGUACAACUUUUGCUCCAAUGAAGUGUUUAUUGUGUCCUCGAGUUAUAUUUGAAAUCUCCGGAGGUGGUCUCUUGUCUUUCAGGUUGACACUUCUUUUGGGUCCGCCUAGCUCUGGAAAAACAACACUGCUUUUGGCACUUGCUGGCCGCCUUGAUAAGAAUUUGAAGGUACAAAUCUUUACAUGUUCCAUCACAAUGCCUGUAAUUAUUUUUAUUGAAGGAACAACUUUGUUGGUAUUGCACUGCUCAGCCAUUAAGCAAUAUAAACCUGUCACUAUCAUAUAGAUCCACCUGCAAUCACUUUAUAAGUGCACCAAUUGUGUAGUUAUUUUUGCACUAUCAAUGCAUAUAACUUAACAAUGUAAAAGCUUGAAUUGGUUUUAAGAGGUGGUAUGACAUACAUCAUUCUACAAUGACUGGUUUCCAGUACUGGAAAUUGAGAACAAGCGUACAUGCUAUUUUUCCUUUCUUCAACUCUUCAUAUACCUCCUCGGAUAUCGCUACUAGAAUAUCCAUGAUAUAGUACUUCAAAAUUUUAAUUCAUCUAAACAUAAUUUUAUGGUGCAAAGUUGAUGAAAAUUGAUCUUUUUUGUUCAAGAAGGCAUUCUAGCUACCUUUUGUUUUGGGAAGAUUGUUUUUAUCUCUCAUUAAUGCAGUUAACUUACUAUGAAGAUGUCAGGAAGAGUUACCUACAAUGGACAUGAUCUGAAGGAGUUUGUUCCUCAACGGACUACUGCAUACGUCAGCCAGAGGGAUUCACAUAUUGCCGAAAUGACAGUGAGGGAGACACUUGAGUUUUCUGGACGUUGCCAGGGUAUCGGUUUUAAGCAUGGUAUUGUCUAGACCUGCUUCAGUCAAUCAUGCAAUCUUUUACGCAUAACAUUUUCUAGUUGAAUUUGAUACAAAACCAUCAAAAAUUGCGCAGAUUUUCUUAUGGAACUUCUAAGAAGAGAGAAAAAUGCUGGGAUAAUUCCUGAUCAAGAUCUUGAUAUUUUUAUUAAGGUAAGACGUCUACAUGAAAGUUUGCAGUUCAACGUUAUAUGUGUAGAAAAACCGCUUCAUCUCAUGUUGAUGUAAUUGUUUUCUAUUAGGCAGUAGCACUGGGAGAACAGACAAGUAUAGUUGUAGAUUACAUUCUAAAGGUAUGUUAGCAGUGAGGCUUUGUUAAAUAUAUUUUUUUUCUACAUCCGUUGUUAGUUUAACUUUUACAUUCCGAAAUGGUAUUACGAACCUUGCAUUUUUCUAAUGACUGCAUGGCAUUUCACUAGACAUGCUCUAUGUGAAAGAUACAUAAAAUUGAUUACAGGAAAAUUAUGCUCCAAUUUAUCGAAAUCAUUGUUGUUUUAUCUUCUGUAGUCUGUACAAUUCUUCAAUAGUCUUGUUCUGGAUAAAAAGAUACUAGCUUUAUAGACUUAAUUGUACUUUGCGGACUAUUGUUUGGGCAUAUUUGUUUUAUAUCCUUCUGAAAUAUCUGCAAAGAUUUUAGGAUUGGAUACUUGUGCGGAUACAUUAGUAGGAGAUGAAAUGAUCAAAGGGAUCUCAGGGGGGCAGAAGAAGCGCCUCACUACUGGUACUUGCCUUCAUUUCUGCUAGCUGCUAUCUGCUUGUUUAAAUUCAUCCAAAAAAUGUUUAAAAAAAGGCAUUGCUUGGAUUAUUGAAGUUCUGAGACAUGUAUUCAGGUGAGUUGCUAAUGGGUGCAUCAAGGGUACUCUUAAUGGAUGAAAUCUCAACCGGGCUAGAUAGUUCAACUACCUAUCAAAUCAUCAAGUACUUAAAGCACACGACUCAUGCAUUUGAUGGGACUACCCUGGUUUCUUUAUUGCAACCUGACCCUGAAACUUACUGUCUGUUUGAUGAUAUAAUUCUUUUGAGUGAGGGCCAAAUCAUUUAUCAGGGCCCCCGCGAAAUUGUUCCUGAGUUCUUUGAGUUUAUGGGUUUCAAAUGCCCCUCCAGGAAAAAUGUUGC